rnacentral:lncRNA from 1 species
GUUUUUUUUUUUUUUUUUUUUGUGUUAAAUAGGAAAGGAGCCUGUAUAAGGCACGUGGAGUAAAAAUUUCACUUUCCAGAAUUAAAACGAUUCAACGAUGUUGCGGUUUGCAGUUUGAAGUAGCUCAGCUUCAAGCGUAGGCUUGAAGGCUGAAGCUCACUUGCACUACUGACACAUCGUCUCUCCCUUUUUGAGCCACUGAGCUGAAAUUUCAAACUUCCUAUGUUUUGUAAUGGAGGGUAUUAUCUACAUCAUCAAACUAGAGUUGCUGCGAUCUGUUCCUGAUUUGUCCAUUUCCAUAUUAUCUAACUUCUCUCCAGCUUAUUCUAAUUGUAACUCUAUUGCUUAGUUAACUCCGAGUUUCAUUGAAGCAUCGAACGUUAUUGCCCAUUGCAACAGACCCAUCUCUACUGCUGAAGCUUUUUGUGUUUCUUAGUUCAUCUUUUAGUGUAUUUUUUCUGAAUGAUUACUAUUUAUGUAUACAUUUUUGUUGGUAAAUCAUGAACUUGUGAGUGCCCAAUUUGUUAUUUUGAUGCUGAUUAAUUUCUCUAAAUCGAAAACUCCUUAUUACAAUAUUGUUGAUCAGCCUGAUAAUAGGUAAGGUAGAUGUAAAAAUAUGGACUUGGCUGAUUUGUAAAAGGUUUACUUUCAUGUGCUAUAUAAAUCCCUUGUUUAAAUUGACACCAAAAGAAACUCUUGUAAAGUUGAAAACUUGAUGCUGAAUGCAGAAACCGAGGACCACAACAACUAGGGAAGGCUCCAUUGAAAUGGGAGAGUACAACAAUCCCGAAUAUGUUGGAGUUAGUGAAGCAAAUUCCCCUAGGGUAAAUGACUUCAAGAAAGUCUCAGUCCUCCCCCUUGUCUUCAUCAUCUUUUAUGAGGUAUCUGGCGGUCCAAUUGGUGUUGAGGAAAGUGUCCAGGAAAAUGUACAAGGAAAUAAGACUAUCUCACACGGAUUUUAGUGAAAACAAACUAUUAGUCACGCUACAUUCACAAGAUCUCUUCUUUAUCCCUCUGCAAAUUAAUAUAAGAAUUCAUUCUCUCUCUCUCUGUGAAGCAUGGAAGGUUCAUCGGAUAGUGUCCAAGAUGGAAGAGAGCAACACGACGGUGCUAGUGACGGCAACUCCGUAGCUCCGUCUUCUGAUACCUCACGGUCAACAGAGUCUACUCAUAGACAUCAUCAUCAUCAAGUCCAGGUAUGGUAUAUAUUGGCUUCAAUACAUAUAUAACAUUAUUGGUCGUUGUUCAUUAUUAAAGAUAUUAUUAAAGAUACGGUCUUUGCUGUGUGGAUUGAAAGGAAUGAAAAGGUAGCACAAAGAAAUUUAAGGGUGGUUUGGUCAAAUCAACACAUGGGGUGUGUGGUUUGUGAAAACGGGUGUGAAAAUUUCAGUACCCUAUCUAUAUCAUCAAACAAGAGUUGCUGCAAUCUGUUCCUGGUUUGUCCAUUUCCAUAUUAUCUAACUUCUCUCCAGCUUAUUCUAAUUGUAACUCUAUUGCUUAGUUAACUCCUAGUUUCAUUGAAGCAUCGAACUUUAUUGCCCAUUGCAACAGACCUAUCUCUACUGCUGAAGCUUUCUGUUUUUAUUAGUGUCUAACAAUUAGUUCAUCUUUUAGUGUAUUUUUUCUGAAUGAUUACUAUUUAUGUAUACAUUUUUGUUGGUGAAUCAUGAAAUUGUGAGUGCCCAAUUUGUUAUUUUCAUGCUGAUUAAUUUCUUUCUCUAAAUCGAAAACCCCUUAUUUACAAUAUUGCUGAUCAGCCUGAUCAUAGGUUAGGUAGAUGUAAAAAUAUGGACUUUGCUGGUUUGUAAGAAUAGGUUUACUUUGAGGUGCUAUAUAAAUGCCUUGUUUAAAUUGACACCAAAAGAAAACCCUUGUAAAAUUGAAAACUUGAUGCUGAAUGCAGGAACCGAGGACCACAACAACUAUGGAAGGCUUUAUUGAAAUGGGAGAGUACAACGAUCCCCAAUAUGUUAGAGUUGGUGAAGCAAGUUCCCCUAGGGUAAAUGACUUCAAGAAAGUCUCAGUCCUCCCCCUUGUCUUCCUCAUCUUCUAUGAGGUAUCUGGCGGUCCAAUUGGUGUUGAGGACAUUGUCAGGGCUGCCGGUCCCCUUCUAGCACUAAUCGGAUUCUUGGUGUUUCCAUUCAUUUGGAGUGUUCCUGAGGCCUUGAUUACUGCAGAGAUGGGUACCAUGUUCCCUGUGAAUGGGGGUUAUGUGGUUUGGGUUUCUUCAGCCCUGGGUCCAUAUUGGGGGUUCCAAGUAGGAUGGGUGAAAUGGUUAAGUGGAGUCAUUGAUAAUGCUUUGUACCCUGUUCUGUUUUUGGACUACUUGAAGUCAGCCAUACCAGCUUUAGGCUAUGGAGUUCCAAGAAUCGAAGCAGUGGUAGCUUUGACAUUGCUUCUCACUUACUUAAACUAUAGGGGUUUAACCAUUGUCGGAUGGGUUGCUAUAUUUUUAGGGAUUUUCUCGUUCAUUCCUUUUGUGGUUAUGGGACUUGUGGCAAUUCCUAAGUUGAAGCCUUCAAGAUGGUUAGUGGUGAGUCUACACAAUGUGAACUGGAAUUUGUAUUUGAACACUCUCUUUUGGAAUUUGAACUAUUGGGAUUCGAUAAGUACAAUUGCUGGAGAGGUAGAGAACCCAAAGAAGACUCUCCCCAGGGCUCUCUUUUAUGCUUUUUAUUUGGUUGUUGUUGCAUAUUUCUUCCCCCUUUUAAUUGGUACUGGCGCUGUUCAACUUGAUCCUGAGUUGUGGACUGAUGGCUACUUCUCUGAUAUUGCAAAAAUUGUUGGGGGAGUUUGGUUGAGAUGGUGGAUCCAAGGGGCUGCAGCCAUGUCAAAUAUGGGGAUGUUUGUGGCUGAAAUGAGUAGCGACUCUUUCCAACUUCUAGGGAUGGCAGAAAGAGGGAUGCUGCCUGAGUGUUUUGGUAAGCGGUCUCGUUAUGGAACCCCAGUCAUUGGCAUUUUGUUCUCAGCUUCUGGAGUCCUUUUGUUAUCUUGGCUAAGCUUUCUAGAGAUUGUAGCUGCAGAAAACUUCUUGUACUGUGUUGGAAUGAUUUUGGAGUUCAUAGCAUUUAUACGAUUACGAAUGAAAUACCCAGCUGCGUCUCGGCCUUACAAGAUUCCUAUUGGAACAGUUGGAGCUGUUCUUUUGUGCACCCCACCAACCCUACUAAUUGGAGUAGUGUUGGCUCUUUCUAAGCGCAAGGUUGUUGUUGUGAGCCUUAUUGCUUUAGUGAUUGGCCUUGUGAUGCAGCCCUGUCUCAAAUAUGUUGAGAGAAAGAGGUGGAUGAAGUUCUCCAUCAAGCUCUGAUCUCCCAGAUCUUCAGGGUGCUAAUCAGGAGAGUGCCAACUCCUUAACAGAUUAGUAAGCUCACAACAUUGCCAACUCCUUAACAGAUUAGUAAGCUCUCAAAAUGUUGUGUUACAGUAUAUUUAGUGGAUAGCAAUAUGUUGUGCAACAGCUUUGAUAUUGAUAGAUCAGCACCAUAAAUUGCCUAGCGAAAACUGUGAAGUUUCUACAAACAGAAUAAAUUGUAAAUUUAGUUUCUGUAGCAUAUUUGGAUCCAACUUUUGUUUAUGACUAGUCAGCAACUCGCGCGCUGCCGCGGUUACUUUGUUGUUGUUAACGUAGUAGAACAAAUAUGGAAUAGGUUAACAUUGCAUUAAAAUUAUGUGUUGCAUAUUACAUUGAUUAAGAAGGGUAUAGAUGUGUUGUCCACAUAAACGGACUUGAAGAAAAUAGAAUUGGACUGUUCCUCUGGACUUUUAUUGCAACUGCACUUUGGUCUAUCAUGCAACUGUGCUGUUCCUCUGGCUCUUCAGUGAACUUGAACUUGAGAUGUGCAUGUCAACACCUGAUACAGCAAAGAAUAUCAUUUACUGGUGCAGAGUUCUCAGAAGCAAAUUUUUUUAUAAAAAAAAAAAAAAAAAAAAAAAAUAUCUACCAGUUACUAUACGACUUUAACCAGUAGGCAUCCUUUCUACAUUUUUACACAAACUUUAAAAAAAAAAAAAAAAAAAAAAAAAAAAAAUAACAAAUCGUGUGAAGCGACUAUUGUUGAAGGCACGGGCAUGAUACAUACUACUUCAGACAACUCUUUUCUUAUUAUAUUAAGAUUCAGUGAUAAAAGGCAUUGGUCUGCCUAUUUCUAACACUGAUUUGUUUCCAUAUUCCCUUAAAUGCAGUGAACUCAAAUUCAGCAGGCAAUUGAACUGAAAACACAUGAAAUCGAAUCACUCACUCACCUUCUAACUCUGGGCUACAGAGUUUUUCUUCCUUCAAUUACAGGCCAAAGAUGUUUCCUGAACCGGUACAGAAGACGCAAACGAUUGCACAGGCUUAAAACUUUAAUUUGCCUUAGGAUAAAACAAUCACAUCAAUAGAAAUUAAAAAUAAAAUAACAGCAAUUCAAAUCCAUUAAGAAACAAUAUGAUUAUAAUGAUGCAUAAUGGUACUAAAGUACUAAAGUAGCCUCACUAUAUUAGUUAAGUUCCAAACAGUUUGAGGAUCAAGAAAUGCUUGGUAACUGGAUAAAUCUUUGGCUUUGUAAGUAAUCAGAGAUCUAUGUUAAAUUCCUCAUUAAAGGUUUAAGCCGUGUUCAAAUUUUUUCUAUGUGUUCCCGUGUAAGUAAGCUGAUGUCUUAUUCUUUAACACAAAUUUAACUUCUUUCUAUCAAACCUGGGAAAAGUGAGGGCCAUGCAGAGUUGUUAUCCACAUAUUUGAUCAUAAUAAUUGACUAUUUCAGUGUUGAGAAAAAGAAACUAACAAAAUUCCAGACCUCUGAUGGUAGGUGUGAAGGGCCAAGCCAGAGUUCAUCUAAUACAAUAGAUUAACAGAAUAAGAAUAGAUAUUUUGGACAUUUCUUGAUAAAGGGCUUUGCUUUGUAUAUUUAAGGGCUCCAUAUACAUAUUUGGUGAAUAUUUACAAAUACCAAAUAAAGACUUGUGUUAUUCAAACAAAUAAGACCAAGGCAAGAACAAUCAUUAUACAUGAUAUCAGAAAGUGGAUAAUAUGAGAAAGUAAUACCUACUUGAAAACAUCUAGGUAACCUUGUACACAAAAAUAAUCAUUCUCUAUGGAGUCCCAGAUGUCCUGCAUAUACAGAAGGUAUUUGAAAUAAAUUUCUUACACAAAAUAAGUUUCAGCAACUAACCUUCAUAAAAGUAAUAGUGGCAGAUGAUUCUCACAACAUGCUUGCAGAAAUAAAUAAAAAAAUACAAUACGAACAUUAGNNNNNNNNNNNNNNNNNNNNGGUAAAAAAGUGAAAACUAAUUCAGUUGAACUGAGAAGGUAAAAGGAAAGCAAAACACAACUGAACUAAUAUAUCAGUACACAAAACUCAAUUCGAACUCCAGUUUUGUACAAAAAUGAAUAGUAGAAAGAGCACUGAAUUCAAUUCAAGAAGAAUAUACCAAGUGUGUAAGAACCCAUAUAUCAACACAUUCAAAUUGAGGAGCUAUACCUUUAAUCACCAAAAAGAUUGUCAACAUUCAGAUUGCCUUUCCACUAAACUCCAGAGCUGCACAUUAAUCACCAAAAAGAAUUUGAAGCACAUUUAACAGCACACCGUAAUAUUUUAUUUAACCUUUAAAAUACUAAAUACAAAAGAUACAAAAACGUAUGAACCUUAAAAUCAAAAACCCAAUGCUUUUAAGUCCUCUUGCUGAGACCGAACCCCGAAAACAUUGAUACCCUAUACAAAUGAAAGGAAUAAAAUACAAAACUGAUACACCAAUAUUGAGCAUGAAGACCAUGACCAAGUUGAUAAUUGCAUCUUCCAUAUUUCAUCAAAUAAAGUAUUUCAAGUAAACAAUUUUGAUUAAAAUCCGAAAAAUUCAAAUUCAAGAGUAUAUGAGUCUGAUAUAAAAGAAGAAUUCUGUAAACACAACAUCAAGUGAUCAAACUAUGAAAAAACAAUAACCAAGCAGUUUGAAGUUACACAAACAAACACGAAUGCAAACCCGACCAAAAAUGAACGUUAAUCUACUCUCCCCAAUUUCAACAAACCUUAUAUACAACAUUUCCACUAUCUUGUGAUAUACUUUAAAAUUUCCCAUUUCAAAGUCCUAUGAGAAAACAGUAACAAAGCAAUUUGAAUUUCCACCAUCUUUCUUCUUUUUUUAAUAAAAAACAUCCCAAAUUUCCUCAGAACCCAAAUACAGAAAUAGCAAAGCCAAAUACUGAAAAUACUGAAAUUCCUAUACAUACAAAUACUAAGUGAAAUAGAANNNNNNNNNNNNNNNNNNNNCUGAAAUUCCUAUACAUACAAAUACUAAGUGAAAUAGAAGCUUCUCAUAGAGAGAGGGGCAGAAACAUCAAUUGAUCGAAUCAGGAACUCACCUGAAGUUGAAUUUCUGGAAGACGAAAAGUUUGGCGUAAAUUCCAACCCUGAUUAUGACCGAUGCUCCUCCUCCUCACAUCAAAAACCCAAAAACCCAGAACCACCUCCCUUGUCCUUGCUGAUGACAAACCCAAUAUUACACCUUAAACCCCUGCAUCAUUGAAACCCCAAAUCAUUGACAUACAAAGAUUGAAAGUAAACUCAAGAAACUCUUUCAGAAAACCCAGCAAAUAAAUCCUAAAUCGAAGAAAAGCAAACAUGAUCACGACAUGCACAAAGUAAAUUACCCAAAUUCGUGAAACCAGAAUGCAAAGGAAGAGGGGGAUUGAGAAAAAGACCCGAUCUAAAUCGAAAUCUACCAAAUUUAAGGAUCCGAAACUCAUAUGCCCACAAAAUAAUUGCAUGUAUCAACAUUUUUCUCUCAGUUUAUCCACAAUCAAUGAGUUGCUGAUCUUCGAUCACCAAAAAAAACAACAUGCAACUGCCGAUCUUGGCAUGCACAUCUUCUACAGGUAGAUCGGAAGAGAGAAGUAGAGAGAAACCGAGAAGAAACAAAAUGGAAAAACGGCGAAUGCUUAGAUGUUGAAUAUUCAGUUUAUUUCUUUCUUAUAAUUUUGUUACAAGUUCAAGGGUAGGUUGGUUGUUCCUAUUCAAUACAUUGGUAUUGAUUCCACGCACAACUUUCGCUAUUCAAUAUAUUCAUACGUAACAAGAACAAAACGCAUCCAGAAGUUAACGCUUAAACAUAAUCGACUCCAGGAGGACACGAAGAUAAUAGGGUAAAAACACUGAGGCCAAUCCCAACAGUGUAAGCAGUAUGUCUCGCGUCCCGAGAUCAUGUACAUGCCUAGAAUGCAAAAUUUCCACCCAAGUACUUGGGAGGAGAAACAAUAUCCUAUACAAAGAAGAUGACGCAUAUCAAAUAUAAUCAGGAAGAGAUGGCAAAUCUCGACUUUAACCAAUUAUUGUUUUUAUGUUUUCCAGGAUAACCGGAAGGCGCAAUGCACUUGUAAGAAAGGGUUCCAUGGUCGACGGGAGGAACAGUCACUGGUUAUCUGCAACAACUUCCACUUUCAACUCAUGGAAGCACGGCCCUGACUUCUUUCCUAUCAGGUCCAUAUGACUGCAGUCAAAAGAGUACAAAAUAAUCGUUAUCAGUAUAACAACAACAGUUGCAAAUUGAGAUUAGUGGAGAGUAGAUAUGAACUUAAGCUGCAAUUGCAGCCUGCAAGGACCAUAUAUACAUUCAGAAAGUAAGAAAAGUCUUUUCAACUAAACUUUCAAACUAUAACUUAAGAGGCAAAGAAAAGGGGCCAAGUAAUAGUUUAUAAAUGCUAAUACAUGAAAGUCAGUGAGAACCAAAUUCCAAAAGUUGAAUAGAUCAGGUCAUGGAUUUAUACACAAGACUACAGAAACACUUAUUUUGACACCCACUAUGUUAUAAACUGAACUCCACAUAACGAAAUGACUAAUGCAUAUUCAUUCUUGAUCAUUGUAUUUUUGUUAAAGUCUAUUAAUGGAACUGAAUAACAGAGUCACUCUCCCUGGGUGUAAAAUCAACUAGAGAUUGGCAAACAUAAGAUGAUCAAGAUUCUUUUAUAGUUUCACAUUAAUAUUGCCAAAGACACAAGCAACUUAUAAUAAGACAGAGACCUAUCAGGGGUAGCAACAUAUAAUCACAAAUGUGACAGUAAGCUUCAUUUGUGAAAAGAGGCAUUCUCAACUAAGAUCUAUAAGCUUCAUUUGCUGCUCAUGGUGAAUACUAUAGAAUAAGGUGUAUGGCUGUGAGUAUGUCUGGUUGAGGGAGAUAAAUAUUACCUCGAGUCCACAAUCUUUCACGUAAAUAUUUGUGAAAAGUUCAAAGGGUUCUGGCAUUGGGCUUUCCUGGAAACAUAACAAAACCGAAUAUCAGAAAUGUGGGUGAACAGUAUAUGAUCAUGAAAGACAGUUGCAUCCAUAUCAGAAAGGAACUACUAAAAUUAGAAGAAUAUCAAGUUUCGUACUUUGGCCUUAGCAAUGGCUUCAUCAACUUCUUUUCUUGCUUCCUUCUCAAUAUCCUGAAAGAACAGAAAUUUAGAAGAACGUAUUCAGUUUUCACAAGUAAAUCAAUUGAAUUCCAGCAUCAUUCCCAUUUUAACAUUUCCUUUCCGGCAUGUAAGCUGGGAUCAAUACCCCCGCAAGAUAAGAAAUGAGGACAAAACCAACUGUUCUAAAGAACUCGACCUUGAUAUUGGAACCAGGCAUACCAAAAUGGAAUUCAAAGUUUAAUAUAUAAUCCAGCCAGAUUGAAUAUAAAAUAGUAAAAAAUACCUUCAGCUCCUUCUCAGUCGCUAUAUCAUGAGCAAAUAUCAGCUUUCUUAUUCUUUCAAUUGGAUCACGCUCCUAAAAUCACAUCACCAGGUAAAAUAAGAGAAGAUACAUAUUUGAAGGUGUGGAUAUAAUCCCCUUAACUAAGUAAUCAAAAAGCUGCAUCAGUAAAAUCAAACCUGUCUCACGCCAGAUAUCUCAUCACGUGUACGGUAGGUGCUCCCAGGAUCAGACAUGGAGUGACCGUGGUACCUGUAAGUGUCCAUUUCAAGAAUCUGAAAGCACAAAAACAGAAAAAGUUUGUCAGAUUAUACAUGAAAAUUAACAGUAGACUAUCAUUUUUCACAUAAAAACUUCAAAAAAGUUUUUAAGUGUUGUCAAUGCCUCAAUCAACUAACAACUUGCUGGUUUUGAACCAACAAUAUUGGAAUGAUUUUGUCUGAACCAAACUCACACAGAACCUGACAACUUUUAAGUGAGCAUGCCAAGAAGAUGUCUGAUCUAUUUACUGCUAAAAUAUUAGGACUUGUCAACUUCUAAAUUGUAUUUGCUAACUUCCUGAACACUCCCAAAAUUUUCAUUUUAAGAACAUGGGAAAAAAAUUUCCAACACAUAUGGUGUAAAACUUCAACCAAACAUUCUACACCCACUGCAUUUCCAGUAUUUCUCUUUUACUCGUGUAAAAUUUCAGGAGUUUUGAUGAAGCAGAAAUGCUAGUCAGUUCAUUUUAGCUAUAAUGUUACAUGCCCUUUGCAGACUCUAACAUCAUACUGGAGUGACUAAGUGAGGGGCUCUCACACCAAAAGUCAUUUAACCAACCUACGAGUACAUCAGGUUUCAAUAUACGUGUGAUCAAACUACGUUGUGUGGCGUUAAUACUAAAGGCAACUUAUGUAAGCAAUAAUUUGACCAAAGAACUUGAAACACUUUGUCAGAGUAACAAAUGAAACUCACAAUGGGUCCAUUCUUCAAAGCAUGCUCCUUUGCAAACUUGCAUGCCUGUUUCACAGCAAACACAUCCAUACCAUCUACCUGUUCCAAAGUAGAAAAUUGUUCACAAAACACAUUAGCAAAAAGAACAAAACUACUCCUAAGAGAUUAAACUCCUUAUCAGCUAAAAUAUUCUACCCGUUGCCACAGUAAAAUUACUUCAGCACACUCCUGAUCAUAAUUUGAACUUGACAAACGCGCCAUACUUUUACUUAAAACAACACGUAUCAUUUAUAAAAGUAGCUAAAAACUUCAGGACACGAAUUAAGCAGUGUUCAACUGACCUUCAAGCCAGGAACAUAGUCUCCACGCUUGUAAUAAGCCGGACUCUUAGCAGCUCUCCACUCAGCCGUUCCCAUUCCAUCUGCGUAAAACCAAUUCAAAUCAGUAAACCUAUCAUUUCCGAAAGCAAUGCAUCUAAAAAAAAUCACACAAACCAAUCAAACUGAUCACACUUACAGUGAUUAUUCUCACAGACCAAAAUCGCAGGCAAAUCCCAAAGCGCAGAGAUAUUAAGCGCCUCGAAAAGCUGCCCCUGGUUAGCAGCACCGUCUCCGUAGAGCGCAAACGUCACCGUUUCGUCCUUGGAGUACUUCUGCCCAAAAGCCAAGCCACAUCCGAGCGGCACCUGAGCUCCGACGAUGCCGUGGCCGCCGUAAAACCCGGACUCCUUCUUGUAAAAAUGCAUGGAUCCUCCUUUUCCUUUGGAGCAGCCGCCCUGGCGUCCCAUGAGCUCGGAGAAGACCUCCAGUAGGGUUCCGCCGCGGCCGAGGAAGGUGCAGUGGUCGCGGUAGGCGGUGAUGAUGCAGUCCUUCUUGGUAAUUGCGGCCUCCAUGCCGAUGGCGACGGCCUCCUGGCCGUCGUAGAGGUGGCAGAAGCCGCGGAUGAGCUUGGCCUUGUAGAGCGAGUCGGCGGCGAUCUCCAUGCGGCGCAUGAGGGCCAUGUCGCGGAAGAAUUUCAUGAGCUCGGCGGCGGAGGUCUCGACGGUGCGGGAGGGGACGUCGCAGACGUGGGAGGUGAAGGGGAGGGAGGUCUCGAUGGUGAUCGGGGAGGUGGAGUCGGAGGAGAGGGAGCGGCGGAGGGAGAGGGCGGAGGCGAGGGGUUUGAGGAGGCUGGAUCCGGAGGAGGAGGAGGAGAGGCGGGAGAGAGCCAUGGUGGCGGGAUUGGAUCGGCUCUGGGAGAGAGUGAGAUCCGGUGGAGGAGGGUUUGGUGAAGAAGGAGUGAGGGGGUUUGGUGAGAGAGAUAGAAGCGAAAUGGGGGGUAUCAAAAUCUUUAAAAUAUUAACAUUUUGUGAUGGGUCUUCUUUGGCUUACUGGUGUCAUUAGGUGACGGGCUGAUUUUUUGGACUUUACAAGUUUACAGUAUUUUCUACUUCUUGGGCCAUUUACCAUAUAUUGCAAAUUACCUUCAUUUUCAAGAUUGUCAUUUCCACGUUAAGUAAUCUUUAUGCUGAUGUCCGAUGUCUUCGACUCGUUUAGUGGUUUUUGUGUAGUUGAGUGUGCUUUUUAAUUUCGUCUGUUAAAUGCUCAGAUACUAUGUUAUAAUGUAUCGAUAGAGCAUUUCAGAUGCGACUAGUGAUUAUAAGACUUUUGAGAGAGGAAAAAACAAGAAAAAACAAAUAUAAGGGUUGUAAGUGCAGACGUUUGACUAAAAUAGAUCCCCUUACUGGUGUUUAAUGGGGCAUCCAAGUGUUUGGUGGGAGUAAGCAAAGAUGUGCUGCGUGUUGUUUGGUAUUAUAUUGCCAAGGGGCGCUAACACAGCCCACCCUUUUUGUUUUAUACUGCCAAUUGCAAAACAGACACAUCAUGCCCUUUAGUUAUUUGGCCUUUUGGUAUUGGUCCUCUAAUUAAAAGAUUUAUGUACAAAAUGCUAUGUUUUUAUAUUUUUGAUUGAAUGCUAUGUGUUUGUAUGGAAAACUGGAAAAGGGUAUAUAAUGCUAAUCGGUAUAAAUUGAUUUGGAACCAUCAGAAAAAGAGUAACGUGGGUUCAUAUAACAGUGUCUAGACCCUAGCAUAAUAAUAAUGAAGUCUGUCCAGAUGUAGUAUUUUUUUUUUUAAGGGAAUGAAGAACUUUAUUGAUUAAACAUCAUUAUAAUCCUGAGAGAGUAACAUCUCCACGUUCGGAAGAAUAAUGGUAAAAAAAAUUAUCAUAAUGAACAACCAACUUGACUUCUCUAGCUAUAGUAUGUGCUACCAUGUUACAUUCUCUCAUGACAUGACAAAGAAUGGCGAAAUCAGCUUGUUGUAGUAGUUGUUUCAGAUCUGAUAUCAAUAAACCUAAAUCAGAAUGGUCCAGGGAAUUACUUGUGACUGCAUACACUAACUCUUGACAAUCAGUUUGCACAAAUCAACGGCACUAGGUGAUCUGAUAAGGCAUAUUUCUAACAUUUAAUCAGGAAUUCUGCAUGCCGUAUAAAAGCUGCAUGAGGUAAAAAAUGCCGAAAACCCUUUAGAAAGGUUCUAUUAGCAGCCCGAAAAACACGUCCAAAUGUAGCAAUUGGUUCAACUAAAUAUAGUGAUUAUAGUCCAUACGUCAUUUCCAUUUAUGUAACAAAUACUUUUGGAAAUCAAAGGCUACAUUACUUGAAUACGCAGAGCUUCAAACAGCUCGUAAUCGAAGAGAUCAACCUUGAGGCGGUGGGACCACUGUACAGUUCAGGCAUUGUUCACUUGGUAAUAAGGCCCAUAAACCUUGAGGCCCAUUUAUUAGUGGAUAGCUGCCGUUUACGGCAAGCCGUAUGAGAGAUUUUUUUCCAAUCUCAAAUUAUGGCGUAUGAUUCUCCCAGACGAUAAAUACGGACUGAACAAGAUUUUGCCCAAAAAUCUCUCCCGCCAUGGACACACUCUCUAUCCUCUCACCCUCUCCCACCUUCUUCUUCACGCGCCUCCUCUCUCUCAAACCCUCACCUCCUCCCUUUCUUCACCACCUCACCCAAACCCUAGCCUUCUCCUCCCCCAAGCCACCACCGCCACCUCUUCCCCCUAAUCUACUCCGAUUCCGAGUCACUUUCCAGUCCCCUAGCUCCGCCUUCGCCGCGAAAUCUCAGCUCUCCGACGCCGACGACGAUGAGGAGGAAGACGAGUUCGAGGAGGAGGACGACGACGAAGAAGACGUCGCGGCCGACGAGUACGACGACAUUUCCGGCGAAAUCUCCGACGACGGCCUCGAACAAAGCGACGAUGAAAUUGACAUGGAGUCGUCUCCGGCGAUUCGAAGCGAGGAAUUCAGGUGGCAGAGAGUGGAGAAGCUCUGCGAGGACGUCAAGCAGUUCGGCGAGGAAAUGAUCGACGACGGCGCGCUUGCUUCUAUCUACGAUUUCCGAAUCGAUAAGUUUCAGGUGGUGUUUUGAUUUAGACUACUCACAUUUUCUGAUUUCUCUGUAUCAAUUUGUGUAUCAUGUACUGAUUUUGAGGUGUUGAUUUUGGAUAGAGAUUAGCUAUACAAGCAUUCUUGAGAGGCUCAUCAGUAGUUGUGUCAGCGCCGACGAGUAGCGGAAAGACUUUGAUAGCGGAAGCUGCUGCUGUAGCUACUGUAGCUAAAGGAAGGAGAUUGUUCUACACAACUCCGCUUAAGGCCUUGUCGAAUCAGAAGUUUCGCGAAUUUCGGUAUGUGAAUGAGUGUUAGUUGCUCUUUUAUCAGUUUAUGACCUGUUGGUUUGGCAAUGUAGGUGAUGUGCUCAUACGUCAGUAGCUAAGUUGAAUUUUAGCUGAUUUGUUGUUGUGAUUUCAGUGAAACUUUUGGUGAGGACAAUGUUGGCCUUCUCACGGGGGAUUCGGCAAUAAACAAAGAGGCUCAGGUUCUGAUCAUGACCACAGAGAUUUUGCGCAACAUGUUGUAUCAGAGGUAUGUUUAGGUUUUGCAGAACAACUUUCUAUUCCAUCUCUUCAGAACUAGUGUAGAUAUUCAUGAUGUUAGCUUUCCAAUUCAGCGACUGAGUUUGUUGUUGGAGUAAAGGAAAAUUCACCUUAGUUUUCAUAGUGCAGUGUUGGAAUGGCUUCUGCGCGGGACUCACUAUUUCACGUGGAUGUAAUAGUCUUGGAUGAAGUUCAUUAUCUAAGUGACAUAUCUCGCGGUACAGUGUGGGAAGAAAUUGUAAGUGCAUUUUGCCAUCAUGCCUCUUUUAUUAGUGUUAUCAUGCCAAUAAUGUCAUCAGAGUAGUAAUAUUAGUGUUAUCAAAUAUUCCAGGUUAUUUAUUCCCCAAAAGAGGUUCAACUCAUAUGUUUGUCCGCAACAGUUGCUAAUCCAGAUGAAUUGGCUGGUUGGAUUGGUCAGGUACUUAGGCCUUACAUGGUGACUUUGUUUUUUCCUCAUUUGUUCAAUUUUACAUUUUUCUUCACAUUUGAUUGUUAGGACUUGCAAGAGUUAAUUGAAUUUUCCCUUCAUCCUGUUUCUAGAUUCAUGGUAAAACUGAAUUGGUAACUUCAACAAAGCGUCCAGUACCACUGACUUGGCAUUUCUCGAUGAAGACUUCUUUAUUACCACUUCUUGAUAAAUCUGGAAAACACAUGAAUAGGUAUUUUUCUUGUUCCUUUUUUCCCCACUAGUUUUUGCUGUUGAGCUGCUGUCUUAACAGAUGAUCAAAAUGGUUAAAGCCAGUAGUUUGAUCUUAUUUCAUUAUGAAAUAAUUUGUACUGACUUUAUUUCCCAGUACUUCUUUCCUUUGAAAAUAGGGGAACAUCAAAUGAUAUUAACAUUUUUUGUAAAUGAACAGGAGGUUGUCAGUCAAUUAUCUGCAACUCAGUGCUCCUGCACCAAAAUCUAAUAAAGAUGAUGGAUCGAGAAGGAGGAAUUCAAGAAGACGGACUAGUGAGACUAGCUAUGAUGACAGUACUGGUAACAUGUCUAGACGACCACUUUCAAAGAAUGACAUCAACUUAAUAUACCGUUCACAAGUAUGAUUUCUGCAUCAAUCUUUUGAGACACGACACAGACACAUUACACGAAUUGCUUUCUUUGUCCUUGGAAAACUAAAUUAGUUAGGUUUUAUUAUGUUUCUACCUGUGAUAUCAAUGUUCCUGCAAUUAUUGACCAAUCGAUCUGAUCAUACUGUUUUAUUUGCCAUUCUUAUAGGUGCCUCAAGUUACUGAUACAUUAUGGCACCUUAAGGCUAGGGAUAUGCUACCAGCAGUAUGGUUUAUUUUUAGCAGGAAAGGUUGUGAUGCCGCCGUUCAGUAUGUUCAAGAUUGCAACCUUUUGGAUGACUGUGAAGCAAGUGAGGUUGAAUUAGCGUUGAAGAGGUUCCGCCUAAAGUAUCCGGAUGCUAUCAGGGAGAGUUCAGUAAAGGGGUUACUGCGAGGGGUUGCUGCCCAUCAUGCGGGCUGUCUACCUUUAUGGAAAUCAUUCAUAGAAGAGCUGUUUCAGCGUGGUCUUGUUAAGGUUGUAUUUGCUACAGAAACACUUGCUGCGGGAAUCAAUAUGCCUGCUAGAACAGCCAUUAUUGCAUCCCUCAGCAAAAGGAGUGACAGUGGACGUACCCUAUUGAGCUCAAAUGAACUACUUCAAAUGGCUGGGCGUGCUGGACGUAGAGGCACGGAUGACAGGGGUCAUGUAGUGCUUAUUCAAAAUCCUUACGAGGGUGCUGAAGCUGGUUGCAAGAUUCUUUUUGCCGGACUUGAACCUUUGGUAUCACAGUUUACUGCUUCAUAUGGAAUGGUGCUAAAUCUUCUUGCCGGUUCAAAAGUUACUCGUAGGUCAAAUGAAUCAGAUGAAACAAAAGCCUCCCAAUCUGGGCGAACUUUGGACGAAGCUAGAAAGCUAGUUGAACAAAGUUUUGGAAACUAUGUUGGGAGCAAUGUUAUGCUUGCUGCAAAAGAGGAGAUUGCUAGAAUCGAGAAAGAAAUAGAGAUGCUGACUUUGGAAAUUAGUGAUGAUGCCAUUGACAGAAAAAGCAGGAAGCUCUUGUCUGGACCAGCAUACAAGGAGAUUGCGAAUCUACAGGAAGAAUUAAGGGCAGAGAAACGCCUAAGGACUGAACUUCGAAAAAGAAUGGAAUCUCAGAAGCUUUCUUCACUACGGCCCUUAUUAGAGGAAUGCGAAAAUGGGCAGUUACCCUUUUUGUGCUUGCAGUAUAAAGAUUCAGAAGGAGUUCAACACUCUAUCCCAGCUGUUUAUUUGGGGAAGGUUGAGUCACUAAGUGGCUCAAAACUUAAGAACAUGGUUUCUGUGGAUGACUCUUUUGCACUAACCCCAGUAGCAGUAGAGUCUGAACCAACUUCAGUUUUUGAACCAUCGUAUUAUGCCGCUCUUGGCUCAGAUAACUCUUGGUACCUAUUUACAGAAAAGUGGAUCAAAACAAUUUAUAAGACAGGCUUUCCAAAUGUUGCCUUAGCUCUAGGAGAUGCUUUGCCUCGGGAAAUAAUGAGCAUGCUUCUUGAUAGAACCGAAAUGAAGUGGGAGAAGCUUGCCGAGUCUGAUCUUGGUGGUUUUUGGGGCAUGGAAGGAUCUCUUGAGACGUGGUCUUGGAGUUUGAAUGUACCUGUCUUGAAUAGUCUUUCUGAACAUGAUGAGCUUUUACACAAGUCACAAGCAUAUAAUCAUGCUGUAGAGCGUUACAAAGAACAAAGAAGUAAAGUUUCACGUCUGAAGAAAAAGAUAUCACGCACACAAGGCUUCAGAGAAUACAAGAAGAUCGUAGACAUGGCCAGCUUUACUGAGGAGAAGAUUAAGCGCUUGAAGGGUAGAGCAAGACGUCUGACUAAUCGAAUAGAGCAGAUUGAACCAUCUGGCUGGAAAGAGUUCUUGCAGAUCAGCAAUGUCAUACACGAAACUCGGGCAUUAGAUAUUAACACUCAUACCAUAUUUCCACUUGGUGAAACUGCAGCUGCCAUCCGAGGAGAGAAUGAACUGUGGCUUGCCAUGGUUCUUCGAAAUAAGAUCUUAUUAAGUUUAAAGCCUACAGAACUUGCUGCCGUGUGCGCAAGUUUAGUAUCUGAAGGGAUCAAAAUUCGACCUUGGAAAAAUAACAGCUACAUAUAUGAACCUUCAAGCACAGUAGUCGACGUGGUGAGCUUCUUGGACGAGCAAAGAAGCAGUUUCUUACAGCUCCAAGAAAAGCAUGGGGUAAAUAUACCAUGCUAUUUGGAUACCCAGUUUGCAGGCAUGGUUGAAGCCUGGGUUUCUGGGUUGACAUGGAGGGAGAUCAUGAUGGAUUGUGCAAUGGACGAGGGCGAUUUAGCCCGCCUUCUGCGGCGAACUAUUGAUCUGCUUGUGCAAAUUCCCAAGUUGCCUGAUAUAGACCCCGUCUUGCAGAGCAAUGCAAAGACGGCGUCGAAUAUCAUGGACCGCCCUCCGAUUAGUGAGUUGGCUGGUUGAUCACAUUAUAUUUAACAAAAGGAUAUCAAUUUGCAAACGGUAUGCACUGCAAUACCAUAUCUACAAGAGCAAAAAAACAAUGAAUAAUUGGAUUUUUUUUCAAAAAAAAGAAAAUAAGUUUUAACAAAUGAGGUCCAUAAUAGGGGAUGAACGAUCUUUUCAAGGCAGGCCAUUUUGAUGAGCGAUACAUACAAGAAAUGUAAAAUGCAUAAGAACUAUAUAAAUAAGAUUAAUUAACCCAAAAAAUUGAUGAAUUAAAUGAGCAUCUGAAGUGUACAACACAAAUUACCUCUAUUUACAAGAAAGCGGCUCAAAGUGCCAACUCAAAGUAUAUACUACUUUCGAGCCAUAUCUCCCUCUCUCCUCAUUUCUUUAUUUGGUUGGAGAGGCGGAAAAUAUGAGAAUACAAAGUAAUUCCACAAGAGCUAUUUCGCUCAGCGCCUCAAUUUUUUCCAAAUCUCCGGCACUGGUGCGCAUACAAUGCGUUCAAAUUGCUACUGGAGAACCAAAACAACAUGUUGCACAUAGUUAGAGCUUAACACUAAAGGAAUAUCAGCAUUUUAUACACAUGUUGACGUGUCAAAAUACAAUUAUAAUGUUUCUACUAGUAAUUAGCAAAUAAUAACACAAAUAGAAACCAGAUAAGGCAUACCAUAUAUACUUGAUGGUCAAAAGAAGGCAUAUCAUGAGCCAGAGAGCAAACGGUGAAACCGCUCAACUCUACUUGAACCACUAGAAGACCUAGCCUGGUUAUGGCAGGAAGUGUUCGAAGUUUUUCUUCUCCUUUUUGUUCGAAACAAAAAGUCUUCUGUAUCCAAAACAUAUGAUACCUACAGCAUAUAAAACUCAAAUGGAUCAAGGGAAGCAGAAAAUCAGAUAUUGGAAAAGUUAAUCCGAACAACACCAACACACCACUGGUCACAAAGACAGUAGUUAAUGAAGUACCUUGGAUGAAUGACAAGCUAUUUUACACUCCAGACCAUUGGCGACUUUAAGUCCUUCCAUGGCCUGACAAAUAGCAGACAAAUCAUCACUACUCGCAUAUUUGCGUUUGUUCCUGUAAACAUGAGCUAGCAUUAAUAAUCAUGACCAAUUGACUUCCAAAACUUGGUACGCUUAAAAAAACAGACAAAAUACCUCUUCAAAAAGAUGCCAGACUUCUCUCUUUUGUCAGGAAGAACGGUGAGAAAAUCAUUGUGCAAAUAAGCAGAAAAAUUAGGGUCCAUGGAAACAGCAGUCAUUUCAGGCUUAUCAUUCCCAUAAUCCAUAAGCUGAAUAGACACCCGGGUUGGUGAAGAGAACUGCAAAGGAACGAACCAUGACAACGUAUUCAGGACACAGUUGGAGUUCUAUAAACCUACACAUUCUAUAUAUAAAUAUCAAAGUGACAAUGUAUUGAAGACAUACACAUUCUAUGCGAUAAAUGUUCUCAUCGUGAAGAAGAACACGAGCAUUUUCGUGAUAAACUACAUCCACGAAUCUUCCUGGUUUUCUCGAAUUCUCAAACGCAUAUAGUUGGACAAGUUUAUUAUCCAUCUCAUCCCCAGCGACUGUUUGGAGCUGAAAACAAGUACAUGAAGCAUAAGAUUUAGGGUCAAAAAGAAGGAAAAAUGGAAAGCUGCUUGAAGAACUAGAAGGUUAAGAAAACACACUCACCUGUUUAACAAGCUUGUAGAUCAGCUUGUCUAAUGUGAAAAGAAGAUACGACUGAGUCCCAAUGAUAGCUCGACAAUCAUCCUCAAAUUUUGUAUUAUCAGAAGAACCGUCGAGUAAAUUGUAAAGUGCAUUCAUGAAACUGUACCACAUGAAAUAGAUUCAGAAAAUAUAUACUAAUGACUUCACAGUUACUGAAAACUAGGUAAAGAAGACCAAAGCCCUACCUAGCAUACGAAUCAGUUGUGCUUGUUUCAUUUGAUGCCCGCCACUUUUUCUCCGCUGAUGACGAGUUAAUCUUUGCUGAUUGUAUUCUCUCAUAUAGUGUCUGUCAAAUUAGUGAAAAAUCAGAUACUAAGAUCCCCAAUUAAGUAUUUGUAAGCAAAAUACAUGCUGCGUGUGUUAAAUGACCCUUACUUGGUGAAGCCUAAAAAGUACAUAGAAAGAAUCAUUUCCAUAGAAAAUCCUAGAGUCCUUGUCCUUGUCAAGUAAAGCUGGAGGAACAUGUUUUGCAAGAGGCUUCACAGAAAGUAGAAAACGUUCUGAGUGCGGUAAAGAUGUUCCAUCUCCUUCAACAUCAUGGGCAUCCGCUGUCCCUUCAGCUUCACCUUCACUCUCGGCCUUGGUAUCAUGCUCAUCAUUGUCCCCCUCUUCCUCACGCUCUUCUCGAGAACAUUCCUCUCCCUCACCAGAUUCACUUCCAGAGACAUCACCAUUCUCAGAUGCAUUCUCACUAUCCUCUGAUGAUCUAUGAGCACUUUCCUCACCUUCAUCAUCAGCGUCAGCCUCAUUUUCACCACCUGCAUCUCCACCACAUACUUCUUCUUCCCCAUGUCUGCCUUUAAGUUGCCUGCUGGAAACACAAUCCUUUGGUUUUUGAACAGCCUCUGAACCGGCUUCUCUAUAAUUUGCAAAAUUAUCCUCCUCAAAAUCUCCAUUUGGAGAUAUUUCACCUUCUUCUCUUUCAAUCUUAAAGUUUCUUACAGACUCUUCCACAUAUCUGUGACCUUUGGUGCCUUCUGUGAUUGCUCCAUUUGAGGAUAUAACGGGUCUAGUAGAAUCACCAGCCUGUGAGAUCAGUAAGAACAUAAAUAUUAAGCAUGUAGUUAUCAAAAUUCAAGGCAAGAAAACAACUGACAAAUAGUUCAUGUUCGCCCCCCCCCCCCCCCCCCCAAACCGCAGGACUGAUGAAUGGAAGUAGAGAAUCAGUAAGAUAAGUAGACUUCAAAAAGGUUGACAUUAGACACUGACAUGCAGUGCAUAUGAAUAUGUAACAUACACUUCAAAUGUUCAUAACUUCAUAUAUCUCUCUACCAAAAUCAAAGACACCCUCCACAGUUAAAUAUGUUUUAUAAGACCUUUUAACAUCACAUAUUAAACUAUUGAUUGGUCUUCUAAAUAGUUUCACCAUCCGUACCAGCGGCAACAGUCCAUAAACUAAUAUCAACCAGGCCUAUCCAAACAUGAGGAGUAUUACACUAUUACCACACUGUUAAUCAUAUACCUCUGGUGAAGGUAACUCAACCGCGCCCUCAAGAGUGCCGUUUCCAGGUCUUGAAGGAGUAGGGCUAAGGCCUAGCCAAAAAAAAAAAAGGGAAAGCAUAUCAGAAAUCAAUUCAGAAAUAAAAGGGUAAUAAUAAGAUACAAAACGAAAACAGUUAGCAUGGCAAGAGGGUAAAAUAUAUUUAAACAUUCUGCAAACCUGAUAAUUUGUCCACAUUAGUCCGUCCAUUACUUUGCUCCAAGCCAGUAGCAAGUGAUACAUUAGACAUGACUAAUCUUUCAUUAAAAUUGUCCUGUUUGCUAACUCUGGACACUUCAUCGGCUGUAGAUGCAUUACUUUGCACUUUACCUUGUUGAGAGGUAUUGCAGAAAGCAUCACCCUUACAUGUAGCAUGAUCAAUGUCAUGAGAACUUUCUUCUUUGAGCCCAUUAGCUCCAUUUACUGUCCAAGCUCUUGCAGAGCUUGAUUGUUCAGGUUGAAUACUUUCAUCUCCGUUUCUUGAUGUAUUUACCUGCUUAGAAGUUGUCGUAAUAGCACCCCCAUCAGGACUAUCAUCACUCUCUCCCCCACUCACAGCCCCAUCUUUUACAGCAUGAGAUUUUGGCUUCACAACAUCUUCAGUAUCCUCUGCAACCUGAGGUCGAGGAGGAACACCAAGCACUGGCUCAAGGAAGGUUGUCCAUAUCUUCAUAACUUUGUCCAAUUGUUCGGUUGUGCAAACUUCUCCACAAGAGUAUUUGAUGAGUUGAUAAAGAUCUUCAUGGAUGUCCAGAUCAGGGUACUCAAAUUCCAAAUUUGGAAUAAGAGGUCGUCUAUUUCCAGCAGCAAUAGCAAGAAGAACAUCAUCUUCCUUCCGCUUCUUCUCACUCAUCUCUUUAAUCUCCGCCAAUAAGGCUGCAAAUAUUUGUCCCCGUCCAGGGAGGAAGAGGAGCAAGAAUUAAUUUUUCAAAGUGAAAAGGGCAUUUGCAAACCAAUGGAAGACAGUAGCUUUUAUAAUAUUCCAAAGAGAAAUGGAAGACCAGGCCCUGCUUAACUAAUACAGAAUCACAAUCUGUAUACAUGACAGAGUAUCACAUUUGCAGUAGUUACCUUUGGUGCUUAAGCUCUUUGAGUCCUGUUGCUUGAAGUAAAAGCUACGAUGAUCAAGUGACUUGUGAUAGUUCUUGGCAUAUAUAUCAGCCCAGACUUUGUUAAAAUCAGAGCGACACCUUGCCCACUCUUCUUGCUUUUGCUUCAAGCGCGUUAAUAUAACAGGCAAAGCUAGUGAAGCAUUUUUCAUCAACACGUCCAUCACAUCAAGCCCGUGGUCACCAUAUAAUCGCUCAACGCAUCUUAGAUUCAGAGCUAGAUGAACAAAGAAGAACAAGAAAAAUCAGCAAUCAAACCCAGACCAUGGAUGAAAAUAGGUAUUCCUCAAACAAGUAAAUCAAAGAAACCUGUGAAGUAUUCUUUAAUUUGGAUUGGACUCUCAGUCUUAAUGGUGUUGUUGUUGAUCUUUUCUAAUAGUUCUUCCACACGCUUGGUCGUUACAUUCACAGACUCUAACAGCAUAUCUAAUUCAAACCUGAAAAACAAAAAUCAUAGAUAGAUUAGUUUAUAACCAAAAAUUGGGAAUCCUUUCAAUGCAAUUGGUACCGCAACCGAUAGAAGGAAAAAAAAUAUGUGGAACUAAACCACAAGCACAAACUUAUGACAUCUCAAUUAUAAUUCUCAGAAAGAAAUAGCUUUCAGCAUUUAAGACAAAAAUGGAAACAGAAAAACGGGAAUGACAACAAAACAAAUAAAGAUACAAGUUAUAACGAACGUAAAUAAUGAAAUUUAAGACAGACCUAUCAUCUUCACACCGAAACAGGCUCUCUUCAUACUGGUUUUUGCGCAUGUGUUUAAAAGAAUAAUCCUCGCUUCCAGAAGUAACAGACACCCAAUGAUCAUUUAGUACUUCACAACCAAGCUCUGUUCUUUGGCUAGCAGAAGGUAUUGGAUACUGCAAGAAAGUUACAGAUAUCAGUAAAACAUCAAAUAGUCUUUAAUGUAAAGAUAAGUGUACAUUUAAGGAGGACAGAAAAAGAAACACGUACAUUCUUUGGCAGAAGACGAUAGCUUGGAGUGCAGCGCUCGCAAUUAGAGAGGUCAAGCUCAUUAAUAGGUUUUGCCAAAUAUUUGUCCUUGCUCGAAAAUAUAGACAUCUUCUGGCCUCCAAUUUCUUUAUUUCCAAAGGCACCAUUUCUAUCAGGUCUAUCCCUUUCUCGGUUUUCACGCUCUCUAUCUUUAAUCAUGUCAUCCCUUUCACGAUCUCGAUCUUUAUCCUUAUCCUCUACCUUCACUGGUCUUGGUACAUUGCCUUCAUUCCAUAUAGAUUCUGUGAUGGAUUUAGAUAUUAGUGAUGAUUUGCAAGAACAGAGAUCAAAUCCAGAUAUCAAAAUGCAAUUACAAUUUCUCAGAAAACGUUAACCACCCAAAAUAAAAAUGAUGUUAUGCAGUCCGAACCAGUGUGAUAAACCAAGAGAAUGAUCAAAGUUUUGUGUCUAACAAAAAGGAACAAAUUCUUUUACGUACUUUUACUCAUGACACCAGCAAGGAACCCAUCUGCAGGACAGGACUCAAUUAGAUACAAUGUUAACCACAGUAGAUAGAGCAGGUAACAGAAGAGAGUAGAACUUCACCUUUCUUCUCACAACAUGACAAAAAUUCAUUGAACCCAUCCAUAAGAUCGGGAUAUUUUCCAAUUAAAUCACCCACCUACAUGAGUGAAGAUCUCAAAAUUUAGUGACUGUAUUUUGAUAAGUCUUUUAAAUUAGGAGAUGGUAACACUUAGCAUCAAUAUUAUAUGCAUGUCUUUACCAGAUUCUGCAAUUCAGCUCGGGUAAUAAUCUCCUUGCUAUAAAUAUGGAGGCACUUCAAAAACUCCUGGUAAGCAUCAGGAUUUCGUAGCUUCUCCUUCACCUUCUCACAGAAGGCACUCUCCGAGCCAUAUAUGCCUGACAUGCCAUGCCAUGCAAUAAGUAAAUGAAGCUAUUUGAGAAACAUGAACAAGACCAACAGACACAAAAAUUCAACCGUUCAAAAAAAAAAUCAGGUGGUUAAGUAUAAAAGGAAGAGUAAAGACAACUUAUACUACACUUAACACUGACAGUAAAUCUCAAGUUACACACACACAGCAAUACUCAGCAAUCCAAGUUAUGAGGGCAUUUACACCAUGUUAUACAAAGAAAACAAAGAGUGGAGCUUUCUUGAUAUAUUGAUGGUUUAAAUGCAUUACUUUGUUGAAUAUGAAAGAAAACUCGUUUGUAAACCAGUUCAAAAACAUCAAAAUCCUCACUUUUUGCAGAAUUUUUAUCAUCAUAAGAAGAUGAAAUGAGAUGUGCUCCAAGGUUUUCGACGUCUUCCCCACCUUGGUGCAACUGGUCAGUAGCCAAGUCUUCACCCCUACGAGUAGAUUUUCGUUUGUGUGGAAAACGCUGCAUGUUGAAGUCCCUGCUGCCAUCAUGGUCAAAAUCCCUAUCGUCUCGUCUUUCUCUAUCUUCUCUCCUCUCCUUUUCUUUUUCACUGCGCCUCCUUUGCUCUUUCUCAACCUUCAUCAAAGCCCUAUCAUGGUCCAGAUCAGGGCGGUCAACACUGAGAUCAUGCUCAGGGUAAGAACCCACGGGCCUUUCUUUCUGGCAACAGCACAUGUAGCCUAUGUUAAAAAAAUUGAUGCAGGUACAGAUACGAGAGAGAGAGAGAGAGAGAGAGAGAGAGAGAGAGAGAGAAUUAGACAUGAAAAUGUGAAACUCAAAGUAGAAAUAAACCUUGUCAACAAGCAUUUGCCGCAUAGGGGGCAUGGCAGAGCUCCUAUCACGAAGCAUCGAGUUUCUUUGAGAUGGAGCAACCUGGAUUGAGGCCGUUCCUGUUGUAUCAGGUAAAAAGUGAGUGAACUCACCAAGCAAGUCUGGGUGGUCUUGGAAAAGUGCUGAGACCUGAAAUAAGUAAGAUGAAUUUGCGAAAACAUGAGUGCAUGAAAAGACCAAGGAAAGAAACUCUAUACAAAAACAAAGCACUAAAACACACCUCCUGGUAAACUUCUGAGAUGGACUUGUUUUCCUUUCUGUACAUAUUCAGAAUGUCCAAAAAGGAUUUAUAAACAUGAUCAUCAUGUUGAAAUCGUGUCUGCAGGUAAAGAAUUCAUGGGGUUAAAAAAUCUUCAAAGGGAACCUGUAACCUCAAAUUUAGCUAUGAAAUAAUGUUCCCACCUUAAUCUUGUUCACAAAACUAAUAGCUUCCUCAAAUUCAACAGGCUUCUUAUGAGGAGGUUGUUCAUCCUCCGGAGGGAGAGUGAUCUCAUAUCCCUUCGGCAAGAAGGUAUUAAAACCUAAUAUUAGGUCUCGAUGCCCUUUAAAUAAAUCCUUCACCCUCUGUAUCACACCCGAGGUGUCAACUCUACAAUCAACACAGCACACAUCAAUACACAAUAAGGUCAUGUAAGAAAAUGUAAACUCUCCUUGCAUUAACAUAUUCAUUGUCUUAACCUUUGAGCUUUGAAGUCCUUCAUGACUUCAAGAAAGUCUUCGUAUUUCUCCUUGUUGUUUUCAAAUAUCUCCUUCACCGCCUUCAGAUAUGACAAGGCAUCGUUCGUUGUUAGCUUCUGUGAAGCUGUUGAUGUAAUCAUCUGGGGCUGCCCCGAGCUUCACCACCAAAAAAAAAAAAAUAUCACAAAUUAGUCUAAUGCGCAAGUAUCCUCUAAAACAAGAAGUAAUGCCUGCAAACAUGACCAGCCUCACUCCACAACUCAGAAACACUGAAACCAAAGCUUCUGCGACCUUCACACACCAACUCUAAUUUUGCUUACCAAGCCAAAAACGAAAGGAAUUAACCAAUUUCAAGUUAACCUAGCACCGAUUCUCCGGCUAUACAAAACUAGAUUAACAACUACAGUGAGUGAUAAACAUGUUAAUUUUCAACGAAUUAAAACCAAAACCACCGAGCACAGACUCAUCGAAUCAAACCGAAAUUUCACUCUCGUUAACAAAAUUAACCACAAGCAACAAAAAUUCACAGCAAGUCAAAAAUCGAGAGAAACUCUUACGGCUCUCCUCGAGAAGUAACCAUAGGGCGUUUAACUUGCGAGCUUAUAUAACCGUCGUCGCGAGACCUCUUCAUCUUCUUCGCCGCUCUCCAACCUCUAAAUCAUGCCUCCAACUCCGAUUCAAACCCGAACCGAUUCCUAACCGAAAUCAAACUCGCUCAUUCCAAGCACAAAGCAGAUCUAAAAAAACCGAAGCACAAAAUUUACAGCACAGUAAAAAAAUCCAUACCGGCGAGAAUUCCAAUCGCUCAGCUCCGAGCAGAGAUCACCUCGCCGGAGCCGAAAUCCUAAACCGCAGAAGCAAAAAGAGGCUCAGCAACUAGAGAAAUUUUACUUGGAGAUAAAGCAAUGCUAGGGGAAAAUUGCAGUGAAGAAUCGAGAGUUUUUACCGAGGAGGAUCGGUAAGUCGUCGAAUUAAGGCGAAGUCUUCAACUGGAAGAAAUGGAAGUGAUGGUGGCUGUUGGAUUAUGGUGAUGCUUCUUCUUCUAUAUUGGAGAAGAAGAAGAAGAAGAGCCGAAAAAAUCAAAAAGAAAAUUUAUGAAAGUUUUCUACCUACUUUUUUGUCNCUUUUAUCUUUCUCUCUCUGAUUCUAAUUCUAUGAGAGAAAUUACACAAACAGAAAACGACAGCGAGCGAGAGAGAGAGAGAGAGGGAGAGAGAGUUUUACAAAAUGUGGUUUAUAUAUUGUGGGGGGAUGUGUAUAUAAAUAUAAGCACUGGGCUAAACACAGUGGUGUAGGGGAAAAUUUGGGAGAGAGCAGUGGACUUACGGUUAUCUCCCCGGUCACAUUUUUUGUUAGUUGUGUAAUGAAUUUAUUUUAUAAUUUAGUAUUUUUUUAUUUACUAGAGAUACAUAAAUAUAUAAUUUUAUUUACCGUGUUAGAUAUUCAGUUUUUGAGUUUUACCGUAUCGUUGUGUUCAUGUGACAGAGCUCGGAGCCUUGGAGGAAAGUAAACUAGGGUUUUUGUGGUGGUGAAUAUGGGGAUUGUGUGGGGGUAUAUGAGUCAUGUUGUUCAAAAAUUGGUGAUGAGUACGGGGAGGUGAUGUGUGUGUAAAAUUUGAGGCGUGCAUUUGUCUUUUGGCAAUUUAGGGAAUUAGGGUUAGGGCAAAGCUGGUGGAUUUUUCCCCUUUCUACUUUUUUGGGUCUGUGAUUUUUGGGUUACUUGGUGUAAUUGGUUUAUAGUGCUAUUUGAUGUAUGUGGGAGUUUGGUUUGUUAUGGGACUAUUGAGGGAAUGAGGGGUGAGAGUGGUUGGUUUUUCUAGAUCAUGGUUUGUUGUGAUGAAAUUGCAGAGGAUUAGGGAGAGGGAUUUAGCUUGGAAAUCAAUUCUCCGAUGAUGAUGAUCUAAAUUGUGGCUAGGAUUGGAUUAUUGGAAAGUAUAAAGUGAUGGGCUUGUUACUUUGGAUGGCUUUGCUUAUAAGCCUAACAUUGUAGUUGAAGUCCCAAAAUGAAAGGAUAGGGUUCGGGGUGAAGCCCAAGAAAGUGAUCAUGGAUUUGAGGUCCAAAGGAAGACAUGGAUAGUCACGUGGAGGAUGAGUUAGGCUUUUGGGACAAAGAAAGAGAUGAACUAAAGCCCUGUUGGGAAGUGGUUUAUGUAGUUGCACAAGUGACAAGUGGUUUUGUCUUUUUUAAAACACCCCCUCCCUCUUCAUUGGGCUUUCCAUAGCUACUUUAUGCACUUGGAUCCGUUUUUCCUGUGGUGGUUUCUGGUGGGGAGUAUGGCAUGGUCUUAGUACUAUAGACCAACAAAUUGAGAAAGGCCUAAAUGCACUUUAGUUGGAUUUUUCUCUUUUCGGUGUUAUGAAAAUACGUUUCGUAUUAUUUUCGCCCACAAUGUCGAAUAAAGUUUUGAGUUCAAAGCAGGGGCGGAUCCAAGUUAUAACAACCUGGGACUCAAGUCUCACCCAAAUAUUUUGAAGAAAAAAAUUACUUGCAUAUAGGUGUCUUGCUUUCUCUUUAUCAUAUCUUGAUUGCAAGGUUUUUGUCCGGCCUAAGUCCCACUUUAGCCCACUCCAGUUGCCCAACUAAUGUUUCAUUUGUUUUUUUUGUUGUUUUUUUUUUAUUAAUUUUUUUUUUUUUGUUUUUUGUUUUGUUUUUUUUUUUAUAAAAAGAGGGAUCCCUAUUCAAAAAAUAAAAUAAAAAGAGGGAUAAAUCAACCAUAUAGAUAAGAAGUAAAGUCUAAAACUUUAGACCAAAGAAGAAGUCCAAAACUCGUCUCUCUCUUAGGGUUGAGUGAUUGAAUUAACACUAAAUUUCAUCCUUUUUUCUGACACUUUCAAGCCUGAAGGUAGUUCCAUCCCUGAUUAGUCUUCAUCACAUUUGUAAAUAUUUAGUGAGAUGCAUUACAUCUAUAUAUUUUGAAUUACAUUGACAUGUUAUUUAGCUUCUUUUAUGUUACAUAUACAGAGUUUACAUAUGUUGUUUUGUAUAAGCAUGCAUUCAAGGGGCAAGACUCACUAUGGCCCUUUGUCUAUGUGCAUACUUUUUCUCUCACGUGCCGUCGAGCAUUUUUUUUUUAGUGAAAAUUCAAGUCCCACCCGGUUUGAAUUCCUGGAUCCGCCCCUGGUUCAAAGGUACGUGUGAACAUAAAAUGGUAUCUUAGGGUCGAGUAGUCCGUCUUUCUGAAGGUUUAAUGUUAUUUUCUGCAUCAAUGUUUGUUGUUAGGGAAUGUGGCGGGAAUGGUAACAUAAAAUUUUGGCGCGAUUAAUGCACUAACUGUUAAAAUAAGAUGUUGAUAACAACAUAACAUUUUGGUGUGAACAAGUAAUACCGUUAGAAUAAGUGGCGGGGAUAACAACAGGACAUUUGGCACGAAAGUUAAUGUCCAUCGACAUAUAUGAUGUAGAUGAUAACUAAAUAUUUUGGGGCGAAUAAAAAUAUUGAACGUUAAAGACCAUAACAGGAAUGAAAAGGGAAAAAUUUAGCAUUGACAUGGGUGUUUACCAUUAGAAAUGUGAAAAUGUUUGUUUUCACGAAUAUAUGGCUAGAGAGGAAAAUUGGAUAGAAAAUGGAUAGGGUAUAUAAUUUUGUGUUGAAGGCUGGCUGAACCGUUAUAAUUAUUUCCCAUUUUCUUCAUACAAUUAGAGCCAGGUAUAUACAUGGACUGACAUAUUAAUACAAAAGGAAUGAAAUUUAUAACUCCAAAUUAAGAUAGUUUCAUUUAAAAAGAAUUAUACUUGUAUAUUUCAAUAUUGAAAAUGCCAUCCGAGUCUGUGUGCUUGUUUCUGCAAGCUCUGUGCUCGACUGGUACCAAUAUCUAAUGCUGUAAAUGGAGCCAAAACCAGUGGAUGAUUGGCUUGCAGUUUCCAUGUGAGACUAUUAAAUUCAAUUUGGAAAUGCAUUUCCGAACACAAUGCCUGACAUGUAAGCACCAUCUCAGACACCCAUCCCUCCGUCUGGUCCCUUUAAAUCUAGCUCCUUACAAACCCUAGCAUUUAUUUAGGGUUUAGUAUGAAUCUCAAAUUCUUAAUCAUGCAACAAUGGCAGGCACUUCAACUCUCUCGAUAAGCGAUCAUGUCAUUUGCUCUCAUCAUGUUUCUUACACAUGAAAUUGUUCACAACCCUAAUAAUUCAUUUUCUGUGUUCUUAAAGAUAUAUAGGCGGAGCGUUGAGCCGAACCGAGUAACAUGCACAAUUAUAUUAAAUCAAAUAUAAUAAACUGUAAUAAGAAGUGAAAAAUGUAGAAAAAUCAUUCUUCCACUAACACAUAGAGAUUAUACAUCUUUGGAUAAUGACGAUUAAGAAUGUAUAAUCACUCGCGUAUGAAAUCAAAACCGAUCAAUUUUUCACUAGCUUGGACUUUUAACAUAUAUAGAGGUCAUAGUAUUUCUUGCAGAUAAAUAUCUGAGCUAUUUCCUCGAAACAACGUCGUCAUACCUUGCCAAAUCGAAGAAAGAAAACUAUUGUCGAUCGAGUAAUCUCUCUACCCGGAGUUUGAUGAUCCAGCUGCAAGACUUGUUCAUCUAUCUCGCUAUAGGAAACAGAAUUAUUGUUCGAGUUGGGAGCAUUAUUUAGAUGCCAUAUAUGCAUGGAGACAUGGGGUAUAUCACACUUGAACAUUUGCAUUCUCAUUGGAGUGGUGACGAAGCAAUGCCUGCUCGAUCCAUAACAUUGUAGUAACAAGGCCGCGAUGAAGUAGGAGAAUGUUUUUGUGCCCAAGCUAUAUGCCUUGGUAUCUCGCUAGCGCUUAUAAAUAAGUUCAUGGAAAACUUAGACGACCUUUCUUUUAUACAAUACCAAAUCAAAAUGAUAAGUCAUUGUCGUCCAUGCCGACUUGCCCAUCAUUCUCCCGGAAACCCAAACUGCAUGUGAGAUUGUCGCAUGAGAAGGAAAACACACAUGAUCCGUAUUCAAAGAUCCAAGCACAUUGGAUGGUCUUGGUCUAUAUUUUGGCCUCCCCAUGUGAACUAGUAAAAUCAAAGGACAAAAGCUUCGUUAUCAGAUGGGGUAUAUAAGGUUUAGGGUUCCUUCUCCGGCAAAGCUCGGGCAACAUGGACAUGGACCACAAAGCUCCCAAUCGUUCCGAUAUCCACAUCUAGCUAGAUUGGAUAUGCAGCCAUGAUUAACGUCCGUCGAUAUCUCAUCUCGGUCUCCUUCCUGUCUGUCUUCUUUAUCCAUAUAUAUCUACAACAAAUAUAUCAUCGAAGGUUUCAAACAAAAUACAGGUAUGGCGUGCUAGACUGCUAGCUACGUACAUUGUAAAUUUGGAACGUAUAACUAUACGGUAUAGUUAUGGUUCGGUAAUGUAGACUACGUAUAUAUCGACAUCAUCGAUAGUACAUUUGCGUUGAAUACUCGAUAUGUACGUACGUUCAGCUACAUGCAUGGUAGUUUUCGUUGAACUAUAUAUCACUAAUCCAACAGGAAUGGCACAAGCUUAUUUUUCAGCAAAACAAAGUUUUUACCUUUUACUGGUGGUGACAGUGGUUAUGCAAAUUAAAAAUCCAGUGGAACAAUUAUAUAUGCAUGCAUGCACCAUCGACAACCACAGCCAAAGUCUAGACCAGCGCCAUCUGUAUGUCUGAAACUAAUCGUCGGAGACCUUGGCACAUUCAGAAAGCUAGCAUAAUUCAACUAUGACGGAGAACUUGAUACUGAUACUGAUUCAACUAGCAUAAUUCACAUAUGUUAAUUAGGUCGUGUAACUGCACAUAGGAUACUGAUACUACGCAAUUAUAAAGUUUGUUGUUUGUCUUCGUGAGUAGUUGGUCGAACAAGAGCUUGUAGUCGACGACCACUCAAAAGGGAAACAUAUAAAGUCCAGAGUCCAGACGGCAGAAAGUCCCGGCAGCGCGCAAUACUUAAAAUGACAUUAAUUUACAUAGAUAUACGCAUUAAACUAACUACUGAAGACCUCAAAUGUUGGUCGAUCCCAACUACUGAAGCUAUACGCAUUAAACUAACUGUGCUUUGAUGGUUGUGUUUAGUGGUUAAUGGUAUUAUUGCUACAUGUCGGUCUCAUAUAUAUAUAUAUAUAUAUAUAAGAGUAAUGCUAGGUGAACCACUUUUAGAAGAACCACCUUAGAGCCCACCUUAAGUGACAGCCUAUGUGGUAGUGCUACAUCAUCAAAAAAUAAUUAUGUCUUUUGAAUUUUCAUUAUUCUUAAUUACUAAAAUUCCUUUUUCUUUUUUACACUUUCUUAGUUUAAUCAUAUAAACCCUAAUUUUAUUAUUCUUUUUCAUCUUCCGUCUUCAUCCUUCUCCUCUCACCCUCUUGCUCAACCAUCUUAAUUAUCUGCUUUUCCAUCAUCAUUAUCGUUGGGAGAUGGGGACUCUUGAAGGCCUUCAAUUGCAGUUAGGACAUCCUUGGCAAUUUAUGCAUAUAUAUAUACUGCCCAGUAACAAGAGUGGUAAGUGGCAAAGAUGAACAUAGGAAAUAAUGGAUCAGAAUGGAGUGCUUGGUGCACUGGUUGGAACAACAUGCUUGCUAUAUUUUACAUAUAUAUCUUUCUUAAUUUUCUGGAAUGUGCCAGUUUUUUAUAACAAUUGGUGAAAUCGAGGGUGUAUGAUAAAUACUAGCUAAAGCUGUGAUCGAUGUAGAAAUUUGAAUACAAGUUCAGGUUCUAUUUUCUUGUUGCAAAACUGAUGAAAUAACAAUCAGUGCUGGAGAAUAUAUACCAACCGGAGGAAGAAAGAACAUACAGGGAUAUAGGCGUGUUAUUCUUGUACCUAAUUUAUAGACGAAUUCAAACAUUACUUAUUGAAAGUGAAAAAAGGAAAAAGAAAUUUCUGUAAUUAAUUAAGAAGAAAUAAAAAUAUAAAAUACACAAAUAAUGCUUUGAUGUGGCUAUGCCACAUAUGAUGAAAUUUAAGGUGGGCUCUAGGUGGUUGCUCUAAAAGUGGUUCAACUAACAUUACUCUAUAUAUAAAGCCAGCAGAUAUAAUCUUUCAAAUCCAUAAGAUUAAUAUUUACGCAUAUGAAAAGCAACAGCCACAAAUAAUUUGAUUCCAACACAAUACUCAGCUGUUUAUUUAGUAUCCGAUUGUCUCUAAAUCAUUGAAAGCUCCUCAUCAUAUUUUCAAGCUCCAAUUUUCCUGUAAGAUGGGUUCUCCCGAAAUGUAUUUACACAGCUAGGUGAAAUGUUCAUACGUCAAUCGAUCAUUAUGUUACUUUGAUUGUUCAUUCAAGCGUUUACUACUACGAGCAAAAAUCACACAUCUCGUAUAGCCAUUAGAAAUGUUGCAUUUUCACGCACGUGUGGUAAAGGGUAUUAAUGGAGUAUGAGGGGAAAAUGUCAUAGAUAUGAGACUUACAACACCCCUGAUGACUACACUAGGUGUGUGACAUUCGCUCAAUAUUGUAGCAGUGUUUGUCAUCAAAAGAUUUCGCAAGUUUUAUUAUCAAGUCAUUCAAGUGCCUAUAAUUAUCAUGUGAAAUCAAUCAUAUAUAGUUGGUUAAACACAAUAAUGUUUCCCUAUAUAUGAUCAGUUGUAUGAACAACAGACAUGAUCGAUUAUCAUUUUGUGUCACUAGCUAGGAUCCAAACAACCGGUGUCGCAAACAACAGCAUGAGGGAUAAGAUUAAAACAACAGAUCGAACUAUUCCAAACCGUUUGCAUCAAAGAUCAAACAAGUCACAUGAUGAGUUCUAUCUUAUAUGGUGUGUCAUCAUUCUUAUUCUUUCCCGUCAUAUUAGGGCUAUAUGAUGAGAUAUGCAUGCCAAUCUAGCAUUUUCAUGAAUCCUCUAGCUCCUUCGUGCUAUAGCUAGCUUUUCACAAUAAUCUCAUUUGUCUGAAAUACUCAUAUCACGGGAGCUUCUAUAUUCUUCAUCACCAAGUUGCCAUUUUUUGCUUACUAGCUCUGGUGCAUUCUGAUUCUAAGCAAAUAAAACAAAAAUCCCCCUAAAUUUGUUUUGAGAAACAUAUCCACGCAUAAAAGUGAUUGUGUGGUGUGCAAUCUUGGUCAUUCAUAGACUACUAUGUAUAUGUAUUAACGUCAUCUAAUCUUAUCAAUCUAACAUAAUAUAUGUAGAUACGCGUCUUGUACUAAAGACUUUUAUUUUUUAUGAAUUACUUAUUAUAUACUUGCUCUUUAUCUUAUGGAGGCAUGUCAAUCGCAAUUUAUAAAUGUUUCAUCUAGGUGAGGUGAGGUGAGGGGGAUUUUAGGGUGGUUGGUAGAUGGACGAGAGGGUUCCCACAUCAACAUCUUUGAAUCUUCUAAUUCAACUCUAUUAACAUCGUGAUCAGCACAAACAUAAACUCUUGCGAGAAAAAGGUAAAGGAGCAAUUUCUCAAACAGGCCCCAUAACCAGAGAAAAGAAGAUUACCUAAAGUAAUCAGCUAGGUAAAUCUAAGGGGGGAGAAAGAAAGCAUCUUCCCCCUCAGCUCAAGUGCUCAACCAGAAUAUUUUGCGUAUGGGAGAGAAGGAUGGCUAGCUAGCUAGAUUUAGUUCAUGCAUUGAGCAUAUCGAUCCACAGAGUUCCAAACCCAGCGAUCACGUGAGUUCAUGGUUUCGGAUUUCUUUAACAAUGUUACGUCCCUUUAUCUUAUCCUCCGAUCACGUGCUCUGCUUCUCUUGUUUUGUCUCCGCCCUGCUCCUGUUGAGUUCGCUAUGCAUCAUAUGAUUCUCUUUUCUUAAGCUUUAGCCUUCUCGGGCUUAAUUUUUUGAUCCUUUUUACCACACCGAGCACAGAAAGAUGGUUCUUCACGUCGGAAUUAUGUCCGAUCAGAGAUAACUCCGGCGAUUACAAAAACGCAGAAACUGUUCGAAUGGUGUGGCAAUUCUGCGAGUUCAAAAGUUUGGAUCAAGAACCAAAAUAUCCCACUAUGUUCAACAUGUUUAUAUGCGGGUAGCAUGUUAUGAGUUUUUAGAUAAGGUGUUAGACAACUGAGUCAACUCUUGUGUCGGAGAGACUUGCUUAUCAUAGGCUCAUCGCAACAUGGUCUGCUGCUACUGCAGUAUUAUUUCACCCUAAUUUGUUUCAUAGCUUCAUUAUCAUGUGUCUUACAGGCUUUAGAUGCAUGCAUGUGCAUUUGGCAAGAACACAUGUAUAUUUAUUCCCAGCCGGUUUCAUCAUUAAAACCCUAAUAAUUCAUAUGCCAAACUUUACUGAUCAUCUGAUAUCUUCAUCCACUACUGGUUUAAGAGACAUUCUAAAUUAGAAAUAGUGGAUAUGUAAUCGGAACUCAUUGUAAACCAUAUGUUAGGUUUAUAGCAAUUAAAUCGUAAGACAUGCAUGUUAUUCUAUUAAAAAUAAAUGCAGAAAAUGUAAAGGAAAACAAAGAAAACACAUAAAAGUUUUAGAAGCUACAUUAUGAUUGUAAUAAUUUCUGCCCGAUAUAUUAAUAAACGGCUAUGUGUGCCAAUGUAAUUGAAGAAACUUGUGGUAAACUAGCAAGUAAAACCACCGCAAACUAUAUCAGCUAGCUUUCAAACACGUUUAUGUUCACCGGAAAGCUGAAGAGAAAGCCGAUGAGUAUAGAGAUACCGUCACCACAGUUACACUAUCAAUUCAACACCAACAAACCACUUUGACGGUUGGGCCAUUCUUACCCUACCCGCGAAAAAACCAAAAAAAUCUGAGUAAUAGUACUUGCUAGCUAAAAUAUUUGACUCCCCACCUCUUGGUCAAUAGUCCACUCACCACCCCUCCCUCUCUCUCAAACAUUUAAAAGCCCCCCCCUCCCAUAUUAUUCCAUUCCAAGUUCCAACCUUGAGAACCAGUCCACCUGACACCUCCCCCGUCACUCCCCCCCCUGCCCCCCAAAAAAAAACUCUGCCGCCAAAUCCUUCGCAUCUAUACCACCACCAAUGCCAACAACCCAAUCUUCCUUACUCUCCCAUACACAUCAUUUUAUUUGAGACAUUUCAUCGAACACUUUAUCUCACCUAGCGAGCGAAACCCGAGUCCAAACCCAUGUCAGGCUCGAGACGUUACUCGCUAGGUAGUAGCCCGCCGCAGAUGGGCGGGUCGACGACUCCGGAUCUGAAGCAGCGGGUUAUAGGCUGCAUUAAUAAACUCUCUGACCGUGACACUCUAGCCAUUGCCACCAACGAGCUCGAGUCCAUUGCUAGAAACCUCACACAGGACUCGUUUGCUACGUUCUUGAUCUGCAUUCACAACACCGACGCGUCGUCCAAGCCGCCGGUGAGGAAGCAAUGCGUGUCGUUGCUUACGUUGAUGUCCAAUUUACACGGCGACGCGCUGGCGCCGUUUCUGUCGAAGAUGAUCUCCACCGUCCUCCGCCGCCUCCGCGACCCCGACUCGGCCGUCCGCUCCGCCUGCGUCGACGCCGUCGCCGCCAUGUCGGCCAAGAUCACGACGCCGGAGUUCGCGGUUUCGUUUCUGAAGCCGUUGAUGGACACGCUGGCGGCGGAGCAGGACCUCAACUCGCAGAUCGGCUCGGCGCUCUGCCUCUCCGCCGCGAUCGACGCCGCGCCGGAGGUGGAGACGGCGCAGCUGAGGAGGAGCCUGGCGCGGCUCGGGAAGCUGGCGAAGAGCGAGGGGUUUAAGGCCAAGGCGGCGCUGAUGGUGCUCAUCGGGAGCAUGGUUGGCGCCGGCGGCGCGUCGAGUAAAGGCGCGUUGGAUUGGCUCGUGCCGUGCGUGGUGGAGUUUCUGAGCAGCGAUGACUGGGCUGUGAGAAAAGGCGCGGCGGAGGCGCUCGGAAAAGUAGCCACGGCGGAGUCAGAUUUGGCGCCACUCUAUAAAGCUUGUUGCUUGAACGCUUUGGAAAGCCGGAGAUUUGAUAAGGUAUUGCAUUCUCACUUCUCAUUUUUCAAUCAAAUUAUUAUUUUUUAUAUAAAAAAAAGGUUCUUGAUGAUACGAGUUUUGGUACAGUUUUCACUGAUUUUGUAGUUUGAUUUUGUUAACAGGUGAAGGUAGUAAGGGAGACUAUGAAUAAUGCAUUGGAGAUGUGGAAGGUUUUCGCAGGCGAUUUCGAGGAGGUUACAGCUCCAAUUCAAUCUAGAUCUUCUUCAACUGGUGAGCUUCUGCUUUGCUUAAUCUGUUUAAGCAUUUCUUGUUUUGGAAACUUCAAGUGUAUAACAGCACUAUAGCAGUAGUUGAAAACAAUGAAGUUGGUUACUUUUUCAAUGAUUUGAUCAAAUAGUGAAACAAGCAAAAAAGGGAAACAUGUUGGUAAAGUAGAGUUUGGUGUUUAUUUGAAUCUGAAAGCUAAAACCGUUGCUCAAGUUAGAUAAAUGUUGCAAGUAUGGUGUUUUUUGGUUCAAUAAUGUUCUGGUGUGUUCCUCAUUCUGGCAUAAUCUUUGAGAGUUUUCAAGUGGAACAACAAUAAGCACAAAACCUGUUUCUCUUUGGUGUUCAUCUAAUCUUCUGUUUCUGUUACCAUAUUUUGGAUAUUUUCCAUGGGACCAGAUAAUGAGAAUGAUCGAUCCUUUCCUACCGUAUCGAAAAGUUCUAAUGAUGCUGUCUUUAGAACACCUCAGACAAAGAAAAAUGUCCCUACAAACAGGUCCCCUCCAUCUAACGGUUCUUUGGUGGCCACUGCCAAAAAGGGAAGUUCUCAAGGUAGAGCUGAGAGAAGUUCAGACACAAUCAAGCUCAGUAAGUUGGACCACAAGAAACCCUCGGAUUGGAAAAUUGAAAUUGCAACGCCAAACUCUGCAUCUUCGAAGGUGUCUCAUGCAGAUGAUAUUGUUAAGAGUGAUUUUAAAGAUGGGGAAUCAGGAAAGAAUGAGCACAAAGCAAAUUGCAUGCCAGAAGAUAAAAGUGUACCCUUCAGUAGGAAUCGUAAUGAAAAAGCACACAAAUUUGGUGGUUUGAGAUCUCGAUCUAGGGUGGUUCCAUUUGAUGAUGAGAACUGUGACUCAGAUGUUGUGCUUAGUAAUCCUGCAGAAGAAGUUUACGAGAGCCCCAAGGAGGCUGAGGAUCUGAAUCUGAUCAGGGCCCAACUCAUUCAGAUUGAAAACCAGCAAGCCAACUUAUUUGACCUUCUCCAGGUAAUGCUGCUGAUGCUUAUUCACCUUUUAUUUGUUAGGCAAAUGAGAUUAAGCAUGUGCAUAGCUUUUGUUUGUUUGUUUGCCAUUUUAAGUUGUUUGGAUGAAAGAUAGUCUUACUACGUAAUUAUGUAUCUCUUAGUCUCUGCCUAUUUCCUGUGAUCGCUUGUUUUCUAUAUUAAUGUAAGUCUUACAAGUCAUGUCAUGCUGCUUACUUAAAAUACUUCAUCAACUGUGUUUAAUAUUUAUAAUGAUGUCCAAGUUGAAAAAACCAACUAAAUCGCCUGUUUACUUGUAUGUAGAGAUUCAUUGGAAACUCUCAGAGUGGGCUGAAUUCUCUCGAGACACGGGUACAUGGCCUUGAGAUGGCGCUGGAUGGAAUUUCUUAUGAUUUGGCACUAUCAACUGGAAGGAUUCCAAGCACUGAAUCUGCAGAAAACACAUGUUGCAAGCUGCCUGGUGCUGAGUUCUUGAGUUCCAAGUUCUGGCGUAGAACUGAAGGCCGGUGUACUGCUCCAAGGUUCUCUUCUUAUUCUGGAACACAUCCCUCAAUGAAUACUGGGCCUGAUAAAGACACUGGUGCUGAACCAUAUACAUUUAACCGCCAAAGAUUUCAGCAACAAAGUAGGGGUGCACAUGCAGUUAACUCGAUAACAGAUAGUCAAGGCGACUCAAAGGUACAGACAGGGUACUUUCCAAACAGAACACCAAAGAGCAUACUCCAAGAUGCUGUGAGGGUUCAAAUUUACAAUGCUAGUCGGAAUGAUGGGGUUCCUCCAGCUAAUUGUAUAGCAUCAAGGAACCUAAGCAGAAGGUAAGGAUAAUCAAUCCAUGAUGCACUGCCUAGUUUGUUUGUUUCAUAAUCCUGCUUGUCUAUUUAUUGAUAGAUUGGUUGUUCCACUUUUUUGGGGAAUUCUAUGAGCUGCUGACUGUAGUCUUGCACAGAAUAACUCACAUGCUUUUCUAGUUAUAAUUACACUUUUUUUCAGAACUUCUUUAUAGCUUUACAGUUUUUCAUGAAUAAAUCCUUCUACUGAAUAUCCAUAUUUAACAUAUAAAUUGUUUGAGGUCAAUUGGUCAUCAUCACUACUGGAGAGAAACUUAGAAGAUACUUUCCACCAACUUUGGUGCAUUAUAUUUGUUUGCAAAGAUUUUUUUGUUUUUGUUUUUGUUUUUGUUUGCAAAGAUUAAUAAUCUUGUUAGUUAAUAUUUUCUUAGGACCAAAAUUUCCCGACUAUUUAGUGUAAUUGUCUUUAGAUUAACGUGUACUGUUGCAUAUGUUGUCUGCAACAGCUGUACGCAAUGUCAUAUCAGUUCGUAUUGCAUUGAAAUGAGUAUUGCUGGAACUCUGAAAGUUAUAUUCCACCAUUACUACUUUGCACCCUUAUCGUAGUUGUGCAUUGUACUUUCUAAAUCAACUAUAUAACAAGUUUCCUUUCUGCUCUUUAGGUCAUCUACUUAGAUAGAAUGGAUGCUCAUCUCAGAAUGUUGUGGUGGAUCAACUUCAGAUCAAAGACUUGAGAGACAUGCAUCACGGCUCAUGAACCUGAAGAUAUUAACUUGGAUGCCGACAAGUCUACAUGUAGGACUGUAGGAGCCCUUAUAAAUGGAUGAGAUUUCUGAUUUGGAUGUAGCAUAUCAUACACAGGAGCAGCAUAGCAUAGGGUUCCUUCUACAUUGUCUCCUCUGAAAGGCAGCUUCCAGAUCGAAGUGCAAUUUUACCAGUUAACCAGAGUAGUCUUCAUAACCUUGCCCUAGCUCUAGCCCGACGGCUGGCAUGUGUUCUAUUUAUUACUUACGCGGCUGAACCAUUGCCUGUAAGGGAGGUUAGGUUAAUCUGUACAGAUUUAAAGCUUCUGCAUCAUCUGUUCUUGCCUUGUUAGUCAUAGCUUGCUGUACAUGAUCAAUAAAUUUUCAUUUCUGCAUUAGUAUGAACGUCUCCGGCUCAUAAAUUUCAUCGCAUGGUGCAGAAGAAAAAGUCGGGAAGAGACAGGUGUGGUGUUUUAAGUGUAUAAAAACUUGUCUGUGGUACUAUAGGCCACAUCUUCAAGAAAAAGAAAAAAGAAAAAAAAGGACCAUGAUUGAUGGAUCACAUUACAUAUGUUGGGGUUUCUGGGUACGGGAAUCCGACAAAGGUGGUGGGGCUGUGGCUUUUGGUUGGGAAUGGCCAUCGGAUUAGGCUGAGCAGCCUUAAAGAGGGGUAGUGGUGUGUGAAAUUGAUUCCUGGCUAAAACUGGGAAAGCAUCCUUCUUUCAUUUCCACAUGUCCAGCCCUUUCUUUCUGGAGGCAACAUUUGAUCCCAAGUCUCUAACGUAACGUCACAAUUUUGUGCAUAUCCAAACUGGUACGGUAGACUUGCAUCAAAACAUCCUAUAAGUACAAAGCAAGGCACGUCCAUAGAUCAAAACUGGCUAAUUUUGGAGAAGAAAAGGUGGUCGUUCGAACAGCCUAAUUUUGUCAUUCUGGAGCUUGAAGUGACCCGUCCGAUUUUUCAAUCAUAGAUUUUCACUUGGUCAUCAAAAUCUUUUUUUUUUUUCCCGAUAAUAUAAAAGGAAAAACAACCUCAAAUCAAAACCCUACAACGUCCCCGAAAUCUUGUUAAAACACAAUUUAAAACGCAAUUUUAUUAGUGAGUCCAACGUGCCACACAUGAAGACUUUGAAAUAUAUUGUAUUCGUUUCUUUCGUUUUCCUAUUUCAUUGGUAAUGAGGCCAUGAGGUUUGGUUUGGGCUCUGGAGAUUAGAUAAGGGGUGGUAGAAGGUUGGCUUUGUUCGACAUUGAGCUUGGGAAGCAUCCAUUUGGGGCUUGACCAUGUCAGGCAGGCUUAUCACAAUUCACAACUCGGGAAACCUCCAUUUGAGUGACCUCUACAUUAUUCUACGAUUCUGAUAACAUGGUUUAGCUUUACCGGUUACAGUGGUGGCCUGAAUUUGAAAUAUAUAUAUUUGCUAUUGAACUGGACGAUAAUGUAAGGCCAAUAAAGCGUUGGUUUGGUGGUUUAUGAUGUCAUUUCAUUCAUGGAUUUCAGAAUCUUUAGCCACUUCUAUUAUUGAGGACGACUUGUUAUUGGUAUGCAACUGUGUACCUAAAAAUUAUGGCCCCAUAUAUUAUCGUAUAUAAUGGCAAUUUUUCACAAGUUAAUUAACGAAAACACUCGAAAAAAUUGCGUCCUUUUCUAACUGUCCAGCUCCAUCCAAACAAUUAUGUAAGUAUCAUUUUCCUAUUCAAUUUUCAAAGAUGAUCAUUUUCCUUUUCAAUAUUCAAAGAUAUAGAAAGACAUCUUUGAUGGUGAUCCCUCUAAUGCUGAUGAUAAUAAUCACAAGGAAAGUUGUUACAUAGAGAUGUGUCCUGGAUUUGUAUCCGUCCAGUUCUUAUAUUCCUCUCUGCAAAUGGUGUUAUUCACCCGCUGCUCUUAUCACUAUCUUAAAUUAGGCCAAACCCAUGAUAUCAAACCUUUAAUUAGGUCUGUAUUAUAAGUUAAGAAAUUGUACCUAACAAUAGCCCGCCACUCAAAUAUACGUCUCUAUUAAACAUUAUUUAGCAGCUAGUUAUGUUUUUGAUAUUUAUGGAAAGGUAUGCAUGUGAAAUGUAUGAAAUAAAAGUCAAGUUUGUGGUAUGGAGUAUCUGUCUAAUGUGUUAGUAAAGAUGUUCAUGUACACGGUGUUUCAAGGAAUUGGUUCAUAGCACAUUACGUGAUACAUGCAUGAUAUUUCAUCCGUUCGUUUACUAACACAAGUGCCGAACAUCUAAAUAAGUAAAUAUAGGGUUUGUUAUACCGAACGGUAUAGCAUGCCUAUCACUAAAUGAGGGAAAGAGGGGGGGGGGGGGGGGGGUCCAACAAGAGGGCGGUUGAUUUUAAAUUUGGUCAUGGAAUUUAGUAGGCAUGUUAUACCGUAUCGUCAGGUGUAGCAGAAUUUUUCCUAAAUAUAAAUAACCAAACUUAUACACGUGCAUUUGGAUCAAGUUACUCACGUUAAUCUUAUUUUCAUUGCACGUAAGUAAACAUGUUAUCAAUGAUAAACAAAUUAAAAAACAACGAUAACUAUGCAACAAUCCAACAUUUAAGAUCGAUCCGUCGAUAAAGCAGAAGUCACUUCACUUUAUCUGAAGAAAUAGUUAUUCCACGAUCCAUCACCCGAUAAUUAGUGGUUGGUACCAUUGCUUGACGAACUCAUUGUGGCUUCCUACAGUGGUUUCGGUUAUGCAAGAAACCUUGACAACAAGAAGAAAAGAAAGAAAAAUGCGAAAAAGAAUCAAAGAUAGAUAGAAAUACAGAUAAUGCGGGCAUAAUUAUCGUGCGGAGCACAUGGAAAUUAUAAUGCAGAAUAAAGCGUGCUUGCAUGCCACGGUAUUUCUACCUAUAGCUCUAUGAAUUAAGCUGGUCCUUCUCCUCAAAACCCAGAACCCACUAACCCUUUUUGGCUUUGGCUAAUUUGGCCAGCUAAUCAUACACACAAUUAUUAAAAAUUAUACAACGCAUCCGGGUGCGCUGAAUACGUUCUCCACAAUUAUAUAUUGUUCUUAUGGCAAGAAUGAAUGUCUUUCCCAGCUCAUUAGACAACGCAUACGCACCAAAGGUCAAUAUGGAAAACAACACGGUCUUCCUCUUUCUAAUAUCCUAAUCUCUCAUGCAUUAGAUAUAUAACAUUAAUCGUUAACUAGUUGGGUUUUCUUAUAGUAUCUUGAUAAUUUGUAUUAUUUUGGUCACGGUUAAACUAUGUAAUAUAGUUCAAAAGAUUCACCUCACAUUACUCUUUAAUUUUGAGACUCUGUUUAAACAAAUUGCUGGAAAUACUUAUAUUUUCAAUUUAUGAAUGAAUUGUCUUUCAAUUAAUAUGAAAUUUAACUCGAUGAACUUGUAAAUCAGAAUCACACAACGUGAAAUACAAUUGGGGAUUACAGAUGGUUACCCUGAGAGGAGCAAACAGAUUAUAGUAUGUUUUGUUGGGCAUUUUGCAGCUUCACACUAAGAGGAUUUUUUUUUUCACCCGGUUUCAGUUAUUUGAAAAAAAGAAACAAAAGAGUACAUAAAGGGAGAGGGGGACAUAAACCAAAACCUCUCCCAAAAAAAGAAGAACAACACAAAAACCUGUGAUCUACUAAGGACAAAGAACAACGAAGAACAAAUUCGUUGAUGCUGCUGCCUAAUGAAUUACAAAUCAAAAAACCAAUAUAAGAUCAAAAACUAAAACGAUAGUUGGGAAAGCCUGCUAAAUCACGUGAAUAAGCUGUAAUUGCACAAGGUGGACAUGAAUCCCACCAAUGAACUCCCGCAUUAUCCGCACCAAAAUUUGCUAAGCAGUCGGCAACGCUGUUAUCCUCCCGAUAAAUAUGAGAUACUUUAACAGUCAUAGUAGUAAGAAUAGUCCGACAGUUAAACCAUUCAGUAGUGAAACGCCAAAGAACAUCUACUUGAAAUGAAGAAAGAAAAUAAAUCACUAAAGUAGAAUCACUUUCAAUCCAAAGAGAAUGCCAACCUCUCUGCGAAGCCAUUUGAAUGGCGUGAAUGACCGUCUGCAGCUCAGCUUCUAAUGCAGUAGCAAUGCCAAGAUUUCCUGAAAAGCAACCUAAAACCUGACCCAAAUGAUCUCGAAAAAUGUCACCAAAACCUGCCAGAUCAGAAGAGCCACGAGCCGCACCAUCAGUGUUAAGCUUGACUUGAUAAAUAAAGGGAAUAUGCCACAUAACAUGCGACAGUAAGAGGAUCAUUUUAUGAGAGAAUCAUCCAUUUCUGGGUUACGAGCCACUUGCUGUUCGAGCAAAGGAAUAAUUGGUGAGUGACAUGUGGACGAAAUUUAGUUGGUUUUCGAUGAUUAAAGUAAAAGGAAAACUAAUAAUAAUAAGGAGAAAGAACAAAAGUGGUGAUGAAGGCACAUUAUCUUGCUUUAUAUUUUAUGUGUUGUAUACACUGAUGACAUAACCAAAAUUACAAACACAGAGCUGGCUUUUGUGUCAAAGUCUCUGAUUGUUUAGAUUAUGUAAACAUUAAUACAACUAUAGAUAAUAUAGAUUUACAUUCUAUAUUAGGAUUGACAAUGAUAUUACCUCAUUGAAAUCUGAAUAAAUUCAAAGGUAAUCUUUGCAAUGUCGAACUUAGUUAAUGAGUAAACUGUAAACAUUAAGAUACAACAUGCCUCAAGUAGUUACUUAAAACAUAAGUGGAUGAAUUUUUUAGACACCUCAAUAGUAGGGUACUAGGGUUAUUGAGAUGUUUUAACCAUUAUUAGUGACGAGUGAUUCACCACUCAAAUAUGCAUAGGCUAGUGAACCCUAGUCAAAAGACAGUUCGAACCUCACUUGUGGAACGAUGAUUCAUACUAGCUACAUCUCGACAUACAUCAAAGCUCAAUUCAAACCUCACUUGUGGAAUGACGAUUCAUACUAGCUACAUCUCGACAUACAUCAAAGCUCAAUGCACAUAAAUAAAUUAUAUUACAAAAAAUUUCACAUAAGAAAACCAAAUCAAAUCGAUCUUAUAUCGUUGAGAUAAAUUUCGUCUCUAAUCUAACAAAACGUGUGUUCCGAUUUUCUAGUCCGGAGUAAUUUGAAUGCUCGAGCAUCAACCUCGACUCGAGUAUUGACAGUGAUUCCUUCUCAUUUUUACCCGAAACAGAGAUCCCAAAGCAGCUUGCAGUAAAAGACCAGAGAAUAUAAAAAGUCGUAUAAAGACGUGUGCUUUCUCCGCAAGCUCCAAAGUUCAUGGUGUCUUCUGGUUAACGCCACAUAAUCCUAAUUAACUGCUGGAUUACGAAAGGAGGCCUAACUAAUCAACGGUGAAACCUCUCACUAAUCAGUAAUCACCCCCUUAAUUAAUCAUCCUUCACUUCACCACCACCAGACACCAGCAGCCCUUAUAGACCUCAACCGCGUCUUCUGCUUCUUCCUCCUCCUCUCUCUCUGGUUCUCUAACCAGAGCCGCCAGAGGCCCAUAUAACCCACUAGAUCUGCAACCCCCUCCUCACUUUCCAUUUUCGUCUUCCAACCGCCACUUUCUAUUUUUGGAAACUCCGAAAUGGACUCCGAGCAGCGCCGCAAGCGGAAGCGCCUGGGCCGCUCCUACUCUCUGCCGGCCAAGUGCUACUACUUGUCGCGGAGGUCUCUUCUUCUCUGCUUCUCUUUCUUCGUCUUCCUCCUCUUCUUGUCCUCCGGCCGCUUCAGAACGGCGUCGUUCCGCCCCGUCAUCACCGCCUCCUCCACCACUCUCUCUCUCCUCUCCUCCACCGCGCACAACUCCGUUCUCGACUCGUUCGCUCACCGCAACGACGCGCCGCCGGUGAAGGUCCAAGAUCGGGUCUUGUUUCCCGACCACGUCCUCCUCAUCGCCGCCGGCCGGCUCGACGGAGAGCUGGACUGUGUUUACCGGAGAUUCAACGGCUCCGAUGAGGUUGCCUUCGCCGUCAAGCCGGUGCUGUCGACGGAGGCUUACGACGAGGCCCGGUCGAUCGUGCGGUGUCCGCUGCCGUUCGGGAACUACUCCUCCGCCGUCGAUUUGAGGCGGCGAGGCGGAAAACCCGACUGGACGGCGAGGAUUAAUUCGACGGUGGAUGCUGCUUCUCCUUGGGAUAAGGUCGUUUACGAGGCGGUUAUUGAUGACGACACGGCGGUUGUGUUUGUUAAGGGGCUGAAUCUUAGACCGCACAGAAAGUCCGACCCGACCCGACUCACUUGCCAUUUCGAGAUUGGCGGAGGGUUUGAGCUUGCCACGCAAGCAGUUACGGCAGCUCAGGAAGUUGUGAGGUGUUUGUUGCCGAAGAGCAUUAGCAACAACCCGGAUAAGGCUUCGGGUAUUCGGGUCACAAUCGGGUACAACACUGGGCAUCCUAGAGCUCCAAUCCAUGUGACUCUUCCUUCUGUGGCUACAUUACAUAGUCCAAAGCCCAGGUUAGUUAAGGAGAAGAAGCAUGAGCUUUGUGCCUGCACUAUGCUGUGGAACCAAGCCCCUGCGCUCAGUGAGUGGAUCAUGUACCAUGCUUGGCUUGGAGUCGAGAGGUGGUUCAUCUAUGAUAACAACAGUGAUGAUGGGAUUGAGGAAGUUGUUUCGGACCUCGAUUCGCAGGGGUACAAUGUCACUAGGCAGUCCUGGCCAUGGAUCAAGACUCAGGAAGCAGGGUUUUCGCAUUGUGCUUUGAAAGCGAGAGAGGAGUGUACUUGGGUUGGUUUCUUUGAUGUGGAUGAGUUCUUCUACUUCCCUAAGGAGUUCAGGAAACGUGGGAAGACUGGCAUUCCUGGCGAAAACUCCCUUGGGAAGCUGGUUUCGAAUUUUUCAAACUCGCCAACGUUUGCUGAGCUGAGGAUUGAUUGCCAUAGUUUUGGUCCGUCUGGGUUGAGCUCACAUCCAUCACAGGGAGUGACUGCAGGGUACACUUGCCGGUUGCAAAGCCCCGAAAGGCACAAGUCCAUUGUCCGAGCAGACUUGCUUGAUGUUACAUUGCUUAAUGUGGUGCACCAUUUCAGGCUUAGAGAGGGUUUUAGGCACCUGAAUGUGCCGGAAGGCGUUGCAGUGAUAAACCACUACAAGUAUCAGGUUUGGGAGACUUUCAAGGCCAAGUUUUACAGAAGGGUUGCUACAUAUGUUGUAGAUUGGCAGGAAGAUCAAAACCAAGGGUCCAAGGACAGAGCGCCUGGGUUAGGAACAGAGGCCAUUGAACCGCCGAAUUGGAGGUUAAGAUUCUGUGAGGUUUGGGACACUCGCCUUAAAGACUUUGUUUUGACUUACUUUGCUGAUCCUUCAACUGGGUCACUGCCAUGGGAGAGGAGGGCUCAACUUCGGUGACAAAUGCAUAGAAGACUGGGUGCUUUGGCCCUUGUAUAACAACAGAGUACACACACCAGCAGCUAUUCUUUUUCUUCGAUUCUUUUGCCCUUUCGUACCUGAUUUAUUUUUUCUUUCAUACACAUGCAUGGAGAUUAAUUACAGGAUUCUUACACUGUAAAUGUGUGACAAAAUGAAUUGAACUCUUCCUUUCUCAAUUUGUAACCAUGCUUGUAUAGUGUAGGAUAGAUUCAUUUGUUAAUUAAGAGUUAGUUAUAGUUUCUCUUCUCUAUUUCCUUGUGUCACUUUGAUCAUGUAUGUUCUUCAUUGUAGCCGACAUUUAAGUCUGUAUAUUGAGAAACAAAAUUAUAGCAAGUACAAUUGGGGCAAUGGAACAUCUUAACAAACUGACCAAUUAAAUGUGUGCAUGAAACAAUUGUACCUCAUGAUUAAUGUGAGAAUAAGAAUAUCUGAAGACUAGUGUUUCUCUUCUGUAGAAUUCCCAGAAGACUAGUGUUAUCGAACUGACAGAUACAGUCAUAGCACAGUAUAUGAAACAGACUAUAUACAGUGUAUACAAUAACCAAAUAAUGGAUCAGGAGUUGGAGAUUGCGAUUGCCUGGCACCAGAGUACGAUCUUGUCACCAAUCUUGAUUCUCUAUUAUCAAAGAAUGUAUGGAGCACUUGAUCCCGACCUAAGAAUGAAAAUUUCGAAAAAUAAAUUAAUAGAGAUGCACACCAUAGGUCUGUGUACGAGCAACAGAGAGAUAGAGAGCUUUUCUCUACUCGAAACUAAACUGGAACUUUGAAACUUAUGAGCGUAACUACUACUAUAAUUAUGAGUGCUACUGAAACCAGAAGAUACAGUUGACAUAAGUAAUUGGUGCUGAAAUUGUGGAGUGUUGAGAUUAGAUGCAUUAAAAAACAAGAAAUCAAAACUAACCUGGCUUAGGAGUAGAACCGUUGCAAAUGCAAUGUUAAAUUAAGACACUUCAGUCCAAUUACUUCAAAACUGGGUCUUGUGACAAUGAGAGGUUAUCCACACAUCUUGCUAGUGUAGCAUCCAGCUUCUCUCCAAUUAAAGAAAUCCAUGCCUGUAACCGUUUCAAUGGUUACCGCAACAUUUAUAAUAAAAAUAGAUAGAAGGAAGCACAUAGAUGAAUAAACAGUGCCUAAGGAAUGUCAACAAGUUUGAUCAACUGGCAGCGGUGUGGUGGAUACUGAAUACCAAUCUAAGGGAUACAGGUUCACUGGUCUACACUAUCAAAGGCCUGUAAAAGGCAACUGCAAGUCCUUGCAUAAGAUGGCCAGAAAUGAAGUCAAAUAUGAACUAUUCCCAGGAUGGAUGAGAUAAUACAGCCCUAGGUGGAUAUAACAUCCAACUAUUAAGAAUGAGGACCUAGGAUUUCCCACUAUUCAGCCAAGUAGUCACUAACUCAGAGGACGAAAUAAAAUGAGAUUUCUUUUUCCAUAUCAGAAAACAGCGAAUGAGAAAUCAAAAGAUACACGAGGGCUAAGAAUGAGAUGGAACACUCGAAAUAUGAGAUGAAGGCAAUAAGUAGAUGAAGUCAAAGAAUUUUACUUGAAUGUAAAGGAAACUAUACAUGACAGUUGUGAGCUGAGUUCACAAUGUAAAGUAAAAAAGACAAACCUGAUCAGAGGCUGUGAAUCCUCUAAUUGUGUCACCACCAAUUAUUGCAAUUCCAUUGUCUCCAAGAGGCUGCAAUAUUACUGCCUGCAAAGUUUGCAACAGUGCCAGAAAUCCUUAAUUGCAGAUUUAAAACAGGGAUCAUCAAAAUGCAGAGUUGAAGAUAACAAGAAAGAUGCGCACAUCAAGCUCUUGGUUUUCUUAGGGGAACUAAACAUCAAUCUACCGAAUCAAUGAAUCACCUGGAUGGGAUAAACAAUACAUAUUUGCUUGAAAGAUGUAUAGUUAAAAAAAUCAAAGAAGAGAACAAACCUGUGUGUUUGAAGGUAGAAAUGGCAGCUCAGACUUCCCAGGAUAGAGAGCUAGGUUGGCCAAAUAACUCUCUAGAAAAAAAAAAAAAAUACAUGCAGUUUUAGACUAUCUGGUGCAAGACCUGUUUAAACUGUGACAGCUGAAAACUAAAACACUUCAACAGAUAACAUGCAGCAAUGGGAAGUUACUUACGAACUCCUGAUUUCAUAACACCUCGAUAUAGUGAUCCUUGAAUCAGUUUAUCAGCAUCCACGGCCACAGCUUCACCACCAUCAGAAGCUGCAGCUGCAAAACCAAUCUGAAGCACAUUUCUGCCACCAUAAACUAUAACAAGAGACCGGCAACAUGUUGCAUAUGAUAGAGAUUCCCACGCCCUGAGAACAAGCAAUAAAAAUUUGGAUAGCACACAUAGCUCAGCAACUCCAAUUUGAUCAACAUUUCUAAAUAACAUCUGUCAAUGCAUUACCACAAUAACUCGGAAACUAGAGUUUCGGGGAGAUCAGAACGCAUCCUCCGGCAUUCCACCCCUUCAGGAUCCACCUGAAAUUAAUUAAUGAAACUGCAUAACCUACAAGUCCAUCAAAACAAGAACCAGAAGCAAAAUCAAAACUCGACGAGCUUGAUUCACCUUGGAAAUAGAUUUUGGUCUGAUUGACAGCCAAACCAGCCCUGCUAAAAUGUUCGUCACAGCCAAUCCCAAUGUCAACAAAUCAGCCCUAGACUGUGAGCUACAAAAUUUCACACAAAUAUUAACCUCACAAAUUCACAAUUAACCAAAAUUAAGCAAACAUAUAAAUUGCGUCACUCGAUACCUGCUGGCGUCAGCAACGAGAGCGAUGUCAGAAGCCGUGCGGUUGAAGAGAACGGCAAGGAGGGAGACGCCGCCGGCGUAAAUCGGCAAGCUCCGAGCGGCGUCAUCGUUGUUAGAGACCCAAUCGGCGACCAAAUUGGUCUUCGGCUUCGGGCCUCUGUAAUCGUUACCGGAAUUCAGAGAGAUAAUAGAGGAGCCAAAACGACGUCGGAUAGGGCGUUUUGGGGUCCGUGGGAGUGGAGUGGGACUUCGGAGAAGGCUUCCCGUUCCCGCUUCCAUUGAAAAGGUCUCAAGAAAUAAUGACUUUUUCGAUCCUAAUAUUUUAUUGUUCCUUUAUUUAAAUGGAGAGCCCUCCAGCCCGUCAAGGCCCACGUUACCUCGGGCCGCCUAGACCCACCUCGUCUCCGCCUAGCCCGCAUGAAUCAAUAUUCUUUCAUAAAUGAAUUGGGCUUUGGCCCACAUAAGGUCUGAGAAUGAGAAAUCAAUUUCCCUCCGUCGCCCUUCGCCGUUACAUAAGGUCUGAGAGAACUUUCGUUCUGGGGUCUUCAUCUUUGCUCGUAUUGAGCUUCCAAAGCUUGUUAGAGUCGGCAGUGGCGGAACCAGAGGUAUGCAGAAAGAAAUCGACUUUGCAGCUCCGGUAGCCUUUCUACCAUAUAAUGUUGAACAGAAAAUGCUAAUGGCAAAGCACCUGUACUUCAUUUGAAUUUCAUUUCGGGUUUUCAUCUCUGUAAUAUAGUGCACAUGCAUAAUAUGUUUGAGGAAAUGCCUCAAAGAAACCGAACUUCACCUAAUUUCUUUUUUGGAUACGAACUUCACCUAAUUUCGAAUGUUGAUCAGUGUAGUGAAGAAAAUAGCAUAUACGUACGAUAAGACUACUUUUAUUUGCUUUUGGUUCAAUGCGAUCUGGUGAUCCGUGAUCGAUCGACUCGAUCGAGUGCUAAAAAACAACCUACUACAACCUUCAAUUCUUCGUCAAUUUUUGUUUUGAAGGACUAUUAGCCACAACAGAAGUACAGACCAAAGGUAUUAAAGCAAACGAAUUAUAUAUUACAAGUUACAUAAGUAAACAUAUCGAAUAUUAUUAUUCAGAUAUUUUCUUCUCCCACUAGAAGUUUCAAAGGGUCCAGCCAGACCAAAUAACAAUACGCACCUGGUGCUUCUUUUUCAUUCCACCCCCGAAAGGAACCAGACAAAUUCAAAUUAAACAAGCAAGAAAUUCCCCACCUCACACACACAAGAGAAGGACAUCUCGUCUUGUCCUAAUUAACUAAUACCAGAGCUGUACAAGAAAAUAGGAAGAAAGGAAUUAAUCACCUAAUCACCUACUUAAAACCUAACCCCACCAUUAAUCUCUGAUCUCUAGUUAAUUGGAACAUUAUUAUCAUAUUGAUAUUGCUCUAAUUCGGACCCAUUUAAUCAACUUCAACUUUCCAUAAUAAUCUUGCUUACUUGCUUGUUUCUUCUUCUAGCCGGCCGUAUAAUACACGAACUGUAAACACGUCAUGACGUCAUCGCAUACAUCAAGCCACACUGAUGAUGCUAUCAGUGCCACUAGACAUGGCCUGAAAAGCAGACGAGUGGCCCGAAGCCGUCGGCGACUGUUCCUCAGAUGACGCCGUGUUGGAGAGCUUUAGUGACAAAGGCAAUGGCUCCUGUGCUACUCUGCUAGGUGAAUACUUGUUAUUCAAGUUGAGCCCGGCCAUUUUGGCAGAAGGAGGAACCGGAAUCGGACGGACCACUUUUCUCGUCGUUGUUGCGCCUUUUACCAUCUGCUGCACAUCGUUGGAUGGAUUUGGCGCUCCUCCUAAUAAUGCUAGAGUACUCUCCGCUGAAGAUGAGCUCUCGCCGGUGACAGGUAGGACCACCGGAGAAAGAGUCAUUGGAAAGGUGGAGAUCGGAAACCCGCCGAUAAGAUUACCGCCCAAACUGGUCGACUGCGGUGGAGGAUAUGGCAGUACCGGUAGUGAUAAUUGUGCACUUUUUUCUUGGUGCAGUGCUAGAUCUUCUUCCAUCAAUGAAUUCAUGGACUGCUAAUUAUAAUACAAACGUACACACCAUAAUUAAUUAUUAAUUAUAACCAAGUUUAAAUAAUAAGGUCGAUUAAUCAAAACUAAUAAAAGACUUACAGGAGUAUCGGUGGUGAUAUCAAAGAGACUAGAUCUACGGCGUCUGCGGUUAUGGUUGCUCCGCCUCAGAAAGUACUUCUGAGCAUGACUCGCCACCUGAGUCGGCGUCCGAGUCUUCACGAAGUUUCUAGAAAUCCCUCUCCAAUCUCCUUUCCCUACCUUCUGCAAUCCCAACAAGAACAACCUGUGCUCCUCCUCCGUCCAUGCAACACCUUCAAAUCAAAUCAUACAAUAAAACUCAAUACCUAUUUACCUUUUUCUGUAUACAUAAGUCCCUCCAUACCGGUGAAAUAUAUAUAAACCUACCUCUCUUUCGCUCGCGGCGGUUACCAGAAGCGUGAACGACGUCGUCGGAGGCAUAGCCAGCGUCAGGGUUGGAGUCCUGAAGAGGCAGCUGGUCAUACUGGGAGAGAUUGUUCAUGCUAGCACUCUUCCUGAAGGCGUUUCCCUGCUCGGUGACCAGUCUCACUCCGAAGAGCAUGAUGCCGUUCUCUGCAGGUGAAGCGGCGCCACCGCCGGCGGCCUCCGUGCAUGUGCGAGAGUUGUGGCCGUUGUUCCCGCACUGAGAGCACGUGCGAGACAUCUUUGCUCGGACGACGACGUCGUAUGAGUACUUGUUGUUGGUCUGCGACAAUUUUAAUAAGGCAUGCAAGGAAAGAAAGGAAGAGAGGAGAGGGCCGGGAUUAAUAGUUAGGUAGGAGAGGAGAGGGAGAGAAAUUGGUUUGUCUGAUGAAAGAGAAAAAUGAGGACUGGUAGGGUUCAUAUAUAGUAACAGCUGUGAGGUGCUAAAGUAAGUUAGGGUUUCCUUGUGUUUAAUUAUGCUAUCUGUACGAACAUGGUCGACCAUGGGAUAUAAUGUUACGAUGCUUCGCAAAUAUCUGUACUUGGAAUCGUGAAUCACUGCCGUUGUUUUAGUUUGGGAUGGCAAUCAAAAGCGAUACAUAAAGUCGAUGUAACCAAGCCUUUCUGUCAUAGUAAUAUCCAAUACAAUAUUUUGGUCCCGAUAUUAGCUGCUGGAUGAAAUUUAUUCUCCUCAAAUGGAUUGGUCAUUACCUAGGGGUUGAAUUGUUUAGCUGAUUAACCAAGUCCUUUAAGAUUCUGAAACAACGUACUCUGUAAUUCAGACACUGAAACGAAAUCACAGUCAACCCUAAACGUUUUAACCCACAAAGCCAAGUCUUUCUAAUUAUCUCUCCGUACGCUAGAAAUGUGCGGAAAACAGCUAGUUAUAUAGCAUGGCAUCUUGUUUUGCAUAUUUCAAGCGCAUAGAUUCGAAAUAUAUAUAUGUAUCCAAGAUACUAAUGGUCACCAUGAAGCUUAUGCAUUGUGACCCUAGCUAUCGGUCCAAGAUAGCUCUAGUAUAACAAUGGCAUAUUAGAGGUGCUGUCCUAAUUGUAGUAUAAUAUAAGCACAUAGAUGUGACCUUGUUGUUUUCCUUUUGUUGUCAUAUAAAUAUAUAUAUAUAUAUAUAUAUAUAUAUAUGCAUCCCCAUUAUGAAAAGCCUAAGAUUGAUAAAAUAUAUAAGAUAAAAUAUUGUAUAGUCAUUUUGGUUUGAAGUCGACAUUUGUUCAGUUCUUAUGGUUUUAUUUUAAUCUGAAUAGUCUUUAAAGUGACUAUUUUUCAUCCAAAUGAUAUUUCCGUCAAUUUUCUCAGUUAAAUUGCUGACGUGGUAGUUUUUAACGGCCACAUCAGUAUUCUAACAGAAAAAAAAAUAUAAUUUAAAUGAAAAAUCGUGAUUUUAAAAAACAUUUAAAUUAAAAUAAAACUAUAAUAAUUAAACAGAUGUCGACUUUAAAUCAUAAAAACUAAACAAAUUUCAAUUCAAAUAUAUAUGCUUAUGCUACGUACAAGACGUUUGAUUGUAAUUGUUUAGGGUUGUCUGCUUGUUAAUCAAAAUCAUAUUGUAGAAACUUUUGCUUGGUUAAUAUAAUAGACAAGGAAAAAGAAAGAAACAAUAAUAUAGAUUGAAGAGAAAAAGCGAUGGUGGAGGAUCAAAGGGUUUUGUGCACCGUCAACUAGGCAUAUUCGAUUUGAGAAAAAGAUAUCGUUGUCCGUCGCAAUGCUUGACGUUAAAUAUUUAACUCAAAAUUGGAUCGCUCUUGGUGGACGUACUUGCCAAUACGUGGUUGCGAACGAUAAGCAAAGGCCAAAUGGGACCCCACACAUCACCAUUCACCAACACAACACAGGGCUAUAGCUCUUUUCUUCAACCUCAGCCUCUCUAUGUGGCUCGCACUCUGCUGGACCCUCCGGUCUGGUGGGUAGUGCUGCGAUGCCUUUUUUCGCCUUUUCCUUUGUCUUAUUUCACACGACCUAAGAAAGCUCGUCCACCACGAUCUAACCCGAGAAAGAUCCCAAUCAGAAGCUGCCACAUCGAGAACGGGAUAUAAAAACGUGGGGAGGCUGUGGCCGUGAGAGGGAGCUGAGCUAGGUCAUUCUGGUCAGGUCAGUUUAUUGGCCGGUGCAUGUUCUUGCUCACUAAGCAAUUGCAAGCACGUGUUCCUCACUUGCUUACGUUGCUUUCGAAGCCUUUGUCGACUCUGAUAUUAUAACUAGACUUAUGGUCUGUUUCUUUAUCUUAUCGUCGUCCAUCUGCAGCAAUAGAGAAAGCUAGCUAGUAUACGGAUUAUAAUGCAAUAUUGAAUCGAAUUACCAAUUUUAGUUUCUGGGCAGCACGUUGUUUUUCUCGUGCUAUUAUUUUCUGGAGCUUGUUCACAUUCACAUGCAGUGAACCGAUCGAUGAGAAGUAGCAGUACCACUGUAGCAGUAGUAGUUCUGACCGGUGGCGGCUAGUUUCAUUCGUCAAUGCCCAGUUUCUGCAACUGUUACUUGAUUUGUUUAAGUACUCUAUCUUUCUCCUACUUAAUUAACUGGAUGUGUCCUUGGUCUUUGCUGAUCAGUUUCCUGAACUAAGCAACCAUGUAAACUGAUCGAGACCUAGCUCAGUCCACAGACCAACGAAGUAUCUUUCAAUAACCAUGUAAACUUGGUAAUUAUCUUGAUUUUUUUUUUCUUCUUGAAUUCAUUUUUGUGUUUUGAUUUGAGUAGAUCGACUUGUCUCCAAGACAAAACAAAUAAUUCUCCUACCGUCCAAACCUUGGACUGUGUAUAUAGUACCUUUGCAUAAGAAAAUCCCCGUUCACAUGGCACAGUACAAAUUGUUCCCACGUAUAUCACAUGAUUUGAUAAAAUUAUAGAGGUAUAACAUGCAUAUAAUUAGGAAGGAAACUUAGAGACAUGGGUUAAACAGCAAGCACGAAAAAGGCAGCUAUAAUUUCUCCAUCACUCUUGGCCAUGGAUUUGACCUUAAAGUGUUCUAAACAACGUAACUUAUAAUCAUUUCACUAAAUCUGAGAUCUACAUUGUGAUUUAGAAAAUUCUGUUUGAGUGGAGACUUAAGAUCAAAAUGAACCACCGUUAUCCGUAUCUGCUCGAUUAGAUCUGAAGAAGUCGAAAACUCGAUUGGUGACAAUCUUGUUCGGGUGAAAAUGGAUGUUUUGUACUUUUGUUAGCAGUGAACCGCAGAAGAUGAUGAGAUUGAUCAGUGUACGUAGGUAGAACAUAUAACUCACUAGGGUAAGGAUUAAGGAAUAGCUACAGUACUACAUAGUCAGUAUAUAUGUAUGAUCUAGCUAGGAUCACACAAGUCAAAAAGAUGUGGUGCAUCUUAUAUCCACGAUAGGAUAAGUUGCUGACUUUAAUGGCCAUUCAAAUGCUCAUCUGUACUACUGAUUGGUGUUUGUUAUCUUCUCCGAUAGCUAGCACACAUACAUAUGAAGACUGGUUGACAACGUAUAAGUUAAAAGCCUUAAAAUCCGUAGAAAAUGAAUUAGGACGAUUUCUUUUGUCUUGUUCUGAGGACCCCAAAUUCAGACGGCCGACCUCAGUAGACCAAAAACUUAAUUAAUUGUUGAUUAUGAUUGAAGUUUAUACUGGCAUGGGUGUCUGGGUUUGGUCCAAACCCAAACUAUCAUCGAUUAUUCAACACGCCAAUAACACAAGAAGGUAUGGCAGUGAGGCGCACACAAGAAAGUUAGCAAGUUUUUUUACUCUAAUUUCCUAUUACUAACAGGAAAACUCCAUAUCGAAGUACACAGCUGGUUGGUGGGAUUCACCUCUUCCUUUUAUUUUGUCAUAUUGUAGUAGUGACCUUAUGAGUCUUCUUUAAUUUCAGUUUUCAUAGUUUUGUUUUGUUGUUAUUUUGUUAUGAGAGAUUUUGGUCUAAUCCCCCUCUCUUGAUGUUUCUCUUUUUUCUUUUUUAAUAUAUAAGAGUGUUAUCUUUCAGACCAAAAAAAAAAAAAUUAACUAAGUUAGUGCACUCUAAUCUACAUGUUAGUAUUUUGUAACUGAGUUAAUUUUCCUCACUGUAAAAACUGAAAACGAAUUGUAUGUAUAAUUAAUGGAGUUUUGGAGAUUAGACGGGUUGGAUUAUCCCUUUUGGUUGUUCAGUUAACAUCUUUGAACCCAAAUGCGUACAAUCAAUAGGCCUAAUGAAUAAGGCCCGUCUGCGACCUAGGGUUGUGAUAAAUGGGUAAACCAUAUGAUAACGACAUACACUGACAAACCUUUGUAUAAUUAGUUACAAAUCACCGUGAUGCUAUUAUUAAUUGUUGCAAAAGAAAAACAAUUAAGAAAGUACUAGAAAUUAAUUAACUGGGCGGGAGCAAAUGGAAAGCACAGUACCGGUAGCAGUACUAGUACCAGAAGUACUAUUCGGUAUUCACAUCGUUGAUGAUUUGCCUCCUUCUGCGAAUAAACUCUUCAGCUCGGCGAUCAACAUCAUCGUCUGGCCGUACUUGACGAUGAUCACGCUUCACAUGUAAAAACGUCGAUGGAAGCGUGACAGCAGUAAAACCUUGAUGAGGGAUGUCUGCUGCGACUUUUGCUGGCUUUGAUUGAUGAUGACCGUUUCGAGCGACAGCAGCUGGCUCCUCUGGCCUUUUCUGGCUUCUUCUCGGACGCCGAGAAGGUUCCAUGUCUAGUAAAACCUUGGUGGAUGCAGCAGUUUUAGUACUUGUACUAUGGACGACGUUGGUAGUUUCAUGCCCGGAAUGAGCUGCUGUUGGCUGCACUGAUCUGAUUGUUGUUGUUGUUGUCGUCGUGGUUCCGCAACUCAUCUUAGCAAGAGAAACAGAUGAAAGCUUAAUGAUGUUCGCCACCAACACCAUUGAUUUCUCACAGAGAGAUUUCUUUUUGCGUAGUCCGCUCUCGUGUUUCAUCGCUACCUUGCUUGAAUCCCAAGCUAGCGAGCUUGUGGAUAAUUACUUACUAUCUAGCUUGCUAGCUACUUUAAAUAAAGGAGAUGCUCUAUCUAAAAAAGGAUUGCAAAUUUGCAAUCUUUGCAGAACGUCAUAGACUUUGAACGGGUUCUUAAUGGUUAUGACAAUCAAUUUUGCAUCUAGAAAAAAGCUAUAGUUUGAAAAAAAGGGGAAAAGGGACGAUGAUGCUAAAAGUACAGUUGUUCGGUUCUAGGGGGAUUAAUUCCAGAUCACUAGCUUGGUAAGACUGGACUCUUGUUAUAUAUAUAGUAUUCCUAAUGCUUCGAUUACUACUCUCACUAAUCAUUUUGUGGCUUGGAAUCAAGCAAAAUUUGCUCAAGUAAGCUUCCUACCUCCAUUUUCUUAUUAUGGUGUUGUGAGGAUAUGAAAGUCUUUAUUUUCUUUUACAGUGGUAGAGUUGCUGUCUUGUAAUGAGAAGCUAGGGAGAGGAGUACUCAGUACUGAAUUAGAUUCGAUCUGUUAUGAAUAUCCAUGAGAAAGACGAAACAAAAGGAUCAGAUUCUAACCUUAUGAGUCUCGUUUGAGCUGUACGUCUUAGUCUACAAAUUAACCAUGAAUUAGUUGCUUUGAUAAUUGAUUGAAUGAUUGUAUAUAUUAGGUUUAAACUGAGCGAGAUUCUGCGUUUGGUGCCCUCGACAGACACGUCAAAGAUACUUCGAAUUCGUUUCAGCAGGAUAGAUUGAUUAUUCGUCUCUACAGUUUCUCAUGAUUUGUCAAUAUGAUUCUUCUCCAAAGUAAUAUAAACACCUUUUGGUCUAAAAUAUAUAAAGGAAGUUAUCUUCAUGCCAACAUCAGAAUCUGUCUCUGCUGCCAUAGCAUACUUUCCUGUUUCCUUGAAUUGGAAAGCAUGCACGGAUUUGAUAUUCUCUGUUAUGUUUGAACUCCAUUUCUUUGAAGGCUAGCUAGGGUUUUAACAAUUAUCUCUAAAAUUUGGAAACGUAAUCACGUACUUCAGUAUUGAGGACCCCUUAAGCCUCAGGUUAACCACCUAAAGUACGUAGUUAAAUUUCAGGCUUAUUCUCCGUUUAAGAACUCACCCCCUUAUCUCUAUGCUAAUCAUUUUAAUCGCCUCAUAACCUCAUCUUCAUAACCUAUAAAACUUUCAAAGCUUAUAUACCACUUCAAUUUGGUCAAAAUCAUAUCAAGAUUGAUCUCUCCUUCCCAAAGGAAAUCAUACUGCCAAAACUCCAGAAAGCAAAAAUUUCAAAGUGAAGGGAAAUUAAGAAGAAUCCAAAGAGACCCAAUUCAAGUUUCAUUAACUAUAAGCCCACAUUUCUACUUCAUGUGUGGGCCGUAUGGCCUAUGAUCCUGGACUACAUCAUAUUCCCCUAAAGCCCAACCCAAUAUGUAGUCAUUGUCAUGAGUCAUGACAAAGAUUCCAAACAAAAUGAUGAGUGAUUAGUAGUAGGUGGGGUUGGACUUAGAUCUUAAUUAAUCACCUCCACAACUCCACGACCAAGACACAUCAUUUUAAAGCUUAACUCAGUAGUUUAGUGUUUAAUUAAACAUAGUUAAGCAUCCCAACUGCACCACAUCAGGGACAAAACGACGACGUUAGGCCCACCACAAAGACCAGUCAAAACUUUUCAAAAGCUGCUCAUUGAAGCUAAACCUCAGUCAAUGGGCUCUUCUUCUUCUUUUCCAAUCUCUCUCUCAGCCUCCACCACCAUCACUAUCAUCUCCACCGCCUCAAAUUCCAAAUCAAAACCCUAACCCUACCAUGAAGAUCGCUUCCGCUUUAGUGUCUCUGAUCGUCUUCCUCAGCUCGCUCCACCUCUGCCGUUCGAUCGAGGACGACCUCGCCUGCCUCGCCGGAGUCAAGAGCUCGCUCGCCGACCCCGGCGGCCGCCUCAGCCAAUGGAACCUCGCCAACAACUCCGUCGCGUCAAUCUGCAAGCUCGUCGGAGUUUCGUGCUGGAACGAGAAGGAGAAUCGCCUCCUCAGCCUCCAGCUGCCGUCGAUGAGCCUCGCCGGCGAGCUACCGGAGUCUCUCAAGUACUGUCAUAGUCUCCAAACCCUAGAUCUCUCAGGGAAUGCUCUCUCCGGUUCGGUGCCGCCGCAAAUCUGCGACUGGCUGCCGUAUCUUGUGACUCUAGAUCUCUCUAAUAACCGUCUCUCCGGCUCCAUUCCGCCGGAGAUUGUCAACUGUAAGUUCUUGAAUACUCUGUUAUUGAAUGAUAAUGGUUUUUCCGGUUCGAUUCCGUAUGAGCUGGGGAGGCUGGACCGGUUGAAGAAAUUUUCAGUUUCUAAUAAUGGACUUUCCGGCACUAUCCCGCCGGAUUUGUCCAAAUUCGAAAAGGAUGAUUUUGAAGGGAACGGUAAGCUUUGUGGGAAGCCGCUUGGGUCUAAAUGCGGUGGCCUGAGCAGCAAAAGCCUCGGUAUUAUAAUCGCCGCCGGGGCUAUUGGUGCGGCGGGGUCUCUGAUUUUGGGGCUUGGGAUUUGGUGGUGGUUCUUUGUUAGGGGAAGUAAGAAAAAGCAAAGCUUUGGUGGUGUUGGUGAGAAAGGUGAGAGUAGGUGGGUUGGGUUAUUGAAGUCUCACAAGCUUGUUCAAGUGUCUCUGUUUCAGAAACCGAUUGUGAAAGUCCGGUUAGCUGAUUUGCUGGUGGCUACGAGUAAUUUUGAUUCUCAAAACAUUGUCAUUUCGGGUAGGACAGGGGUUUCAUACAAGGCGGUGUUGCCUGAUGGGUCUGCAUUGGCAAUCAAGCGGCUUAGUGGGUGUAAGCUCGGAGAGAAGCAGUUUAAGUUGGAGAUAAAUAGGUUGGGGCAGCUUAGGCAUCCUAAUUUGGUGCCUUUGUUGGGGUUCUGUGUUGUGGAGGAAGAGAAGCUUUUGGUGUAUAAGCACAUGUAUAAUGGCACAUUGUACUCUCAGUUACAUGGUAGUGGUAAUGUGAGUAGUCAGUAUGGUUUUUUGGAUUGGUUGACACGGUUGAGGAUCGGUGUAGGAGCAGCCAGAGGACUUGCUUGGCUUCACCAUGCUUGCCAGCCGCCGCAGAUGCACCAGAACAUUAGCUCGAAUGUGAUUCUUCUUGAUUAUGAUUUUGAGGCUCGGAUAACGGAUUUUGGGUUGGCGAGGCUGGUGGGUUCUCGUGAUUCAAAUGAUAGCUCGUUUGUGAAUGGGGAGUUGGGAGAGAUUGGUUAUGUUGCUCCAGAAUACUCGAGCACCAUGGUAGCAUCGUUAAAAGGGGAUGUUUAUGGAUUCGGGGUAGUUCUUUUGGAAUUGAUUACCGGACAGAAACCUUUAGAAAUCAGUAAUGUAGUGGAGGGGUUCAAGGGCAAUUUGGUGGAUUGGGUCUCUCACUUAUCAAACACUGGUCGAAGCGUUGAUGCCAUAGACAAUGUCUUAGCAGGGAAAGGUCAUGAUGAUGAAAUUUUACAGUUCAUGAAGGUGGCUUGCAGUUGUGUGGUUGCUAGGCCAAAAGAUAGGCCUUCUAUGCAUCAGGUUUACGAGUUAUUGAAGAGCUUGGCUGAUAAACACGGUUUCUCUGAACAGUACGAUGAAUUUCCAUUGAUGUUGGGCAAACAGGUUCCUGAAUCUUGAUUCUAAUUAAGAAUUUUAGGCUGGAAAGUGUUGAAUGUACAAGAUACCACUGCAGCAUCUGGGCACGUCUCAUUUUAUACUUGCAAAGAGGCAUUUUCUGCAAUUGGUAUUGUUUUUUGAGCAUGAUUUCUCUGUUGUAAUGCUCAGCUAUUGAAUCUUUCUGUAUUAUAAAGAAGCAUGUAAUUUUCACGUAAUCCAAAAUGAAAUCUCUGUUUUUUUUUUUUGAUUGAAUGACAUCUCUGUUUUCUUGCCAAUUGCUAUGUUCUUUCCAUAAAUCAUAGUAGUAACAUCUAUUGACGAAACAAGUUUAGGUGCAUCUCGGCCCUCGCCUUUGAAUCUUUCCUUGAACUUCCACCAUCUCAAGGUCCCCACUCAACCACACAGCAUAGCAUAUAAAGCCUGGAGUUGAAUGAAACAAUCAUAUAUGUCUUGUAUUCAGUGACCUUUCAAAACCAAACCACGGCCUUUCUCGUGACCACUGCAGAAAACAUUUAAGAACCCAGCAGCAUUAUUCGGAGAAGACCAUGUUCUUAUUAUGACCUAUUUUUCAGUAAGGGGGCAUUUCAUGACCCAACCCUGCCUUGUGGGGGCGUUAUGAAAUGUCGAUUUUUGCUCACAUUUUUGUCAUCAUCUCAUCUCAUACCUGCUUGUUUGGCUUUCAGCUUUCGGCUCAUCUCUCUGAGGUGGGUGUCGUUCUGAGCACAUGGCUUUAUAGUCAAUUAUUGGCUACCAAUCAGUAUAAUGAUAUAUCAUAUACGAGAAUGUUGUGGUAAGAAUCUGCUAUCAAAAUAGUUGAUGCACAAGAUGCAUUAACACAUCCUUACUGUUGUUCUAGUAAGGAGGUGGUGACCAAACCCAGAUGCCUCUACAGAUCGUGCAGACUUGCAAGCCAAGCUCUCUCUUAUAAUAUGUUUUAUGAUAUAGAAGUUCUAGUUGGUAUUCAGAAUGGAUUAUCAAACCUAUUCUAUAUACAUUGGUAUCCAACCACUUUGAAUUACAUUUAAAUUGUAGUAAACUACUUUGUAAGCAAUUUAAUUGUCCGGCAAACCCAAACCAGACACCGACGAAGUGCAGCAGAAAGAACAAGACCAUCCAACCAGGUCAGACUAUUAGAUAUCCAAGCGCAAUAAGAAACGAAGCUCAUCACCAUCCCAUUCAUCAAAGCCACAAGCAAACAAUGAAAACACAGAAUUAAGCAGCAGCAGCAGCAUGUAAUGUACUUCAGCUGGAAAAAGAAAAGAAAAAUGCUGUACAUAACAAUGUAUCAUGCAUGAUUAAUUGUAUCAUAUAUACUAGGUCCAAUAAUACUUCUCUCCACAACAGUGAAUUAGAUCUUAGGUUUUAAAGAUAUAAGAGUAUAUAGUUCAUACGCACAUUUCAUUCUUUCUAGCUAGCGAGACAAAUAUACUGUAUAUAUAACUGAUCCAAUAAGCUUAAGGUUUUUUAGUUUUUUUUUUUUUUUUUUUCCUUUUUUUUUUUUCGAAAGGGAAACAAACAAACAAAAUUUUCAACACAUAGCAAAAGUUACACUUUGCAUACCAGCAUGGAAUAAAGAUUGUAUCUUCUCACACAGCAGCUAAAGUCUCCAUGUAGUAACCAGGACUACAAUCUUUAAAUAUAUAGUCUCCUAACAUAUAUUGAACAAUUCUAACUUUAAAAAUUUGUGUCUUUUAUCAAUUUAAUCACGAUCGGACCAAAAUAACUCACGCGUGCUGUGUUUUGUAAAUCUGUUGAAAUUGUUGUUUUAAUUGGUAUUAAGUGACUUUCCAAGAUUCUUUUAAUUCUUCUCAUAUUGACAUCGAGAUCCUCAGUUUUCAAAGAAAAUGAGCUAUUGCCCCUCUUUUCAAUUUAAAGUUUCACCCAAUUCGAGUCAAAACCCUUUGCUAUAGCACACGAGUUUCAAGCCAGUUUCACUUUUUUAAGACUUUGGCUUUUUCUGUUCGGGUAUGCUU